rnacentral:lncRNA from 1 species
UUUAAUAAAGCUUUUGUUUCUUUUUUCACUUUAUAAUUAGUCAUGUUUUCCAUUUCUUUCCUAAAAAAAAUAAAAAACAUAUAACUAUUUUCCUUUUUCUUUUUCUCUUUUUCGUUUUCCCCUUUUUGUGUUUUGUAAUAAUGUCAAGAAAAACUUAGUUCCAUUUUAGAUUUUCCAUAUACAUAUAUAAAUAUUAUUUUACAAAAAUUGAUUGAAUGUUUGUUGCUAUAUUUAGUGAAUAGUUCUAUAAAUAUUUACAAUAAUUUUGUAACUAAUGUUACUUGAUCUAGAUAUUAUGUAUAAAUGCAUUUUUAAUUUACUCACAAAGUUUGAAAGUUCUUUACUCAUAAAUUCCUAAACUUUAAAUUCUGACUUUAGUCUCUAUAACUGUCUUUUUUUUUUUUCUUUUUUAAAAUUUAGUCCCUGUAAAUAUCUAAUAGCCAUAUAAACUUCAAUUUUAUCUCUAAUAAUUUAUGAAAUAAUGAAAAUAUUUGUAAAUAAAUGUUUUAUAUAAGACGAAAAAUGUACUGGUUAAUUAAUUGAAUGUUAUGUAUUAAAUUAUGUAGUUAAUAGAUAAAAUUAAUUCUACCAAUGUGUCGAGUUGGAUUGGGUAAGGGUUUGUCAAGUCUAAGUUAUGGGGUAGGUGGUGGUUUGUUACUAUUUAUUUUAUCGGGCAAGAGUGUCAUCGUCUGCGGGGGCUUCUCUCGGAUGUUUCUAUGAUUGUUACUAUUGUGUGUGCUUGUUCUACUUCUUGAGAAAUAUUGUUGGUCUGCCUUGGAGGAGUUUGUUUUUUUCCAUUCUCUUUUUGUCUUUUCUUGUUUUAGUUGUGUUUCUUUCUUUCUUUGAUUUAUUCGGUAUGAUAUUUCGAGUUUUGGAGUAUCCCCUUGGACUUUAGUAGAUGCAUCUGGACAUCUCUACUAGGUGGAUAACCUCUUAGCACUCUCAUCAUUCCCGCUUCAUUAAUGAUAAAGAGUUCAAUACGAGAAGCAGGAAAGAUAACCAAGGCUAGAGAUAAGCCCAAAGAGGAAUAAUAAGUUAUACAAAUGCAUGGAGGUUUAAAGCAAUAGAGCUAUCUGUCACGUGGUUAGAAUCUAAAGCUAACCAUACGUGCAACACUUGGCUUGAUUAUGUUGUCCCCGUUAGCCAAGUAAGCCUUUCCCGAAAGGGGUAGUGCGCCAAGCACUACGCCAACAUGUUGCAGCGGAAGUACUUAGGUUGGUUGCAAGACACGAGAGAGGUUGGAAGGAUGAGGGAGUUUGGAUGGAUACGUCUUGGAAAUGAUACGUUACAUUCCAAGAAUAGAUGAAUACAUAUUUGGGUGCAAAUAUGUUGUCUCUUGCCAUGGGGGUGCCAUGGGCAAGGAGACUUUGUGUGGCAAGGUGACCUUGCUUGGCUAAGACAUGCCAAGAUACAAGGUUGCAAGGCUUGAUACAAAUGAGGCCCUCCCCAAGUAUUUAUAGACCAUCCUCACCGACCUUGGGCCUUAGAAGGUCGGCCAAGGGAGAUUCUAGAGAUUACAAGUUCAUUUGGUACAUAACAAGGAAGCCUAGAACAUUCUAGAGAGGACUAGACCUUUCAUGACACACCCUGAUCGUCAUAAUAGCCUUCUAGAGUGUUCCAGCACGUUCCAACAUCAUCCAGCACGUUUUGGGGCCUUCUCGGGAGCUUCCCGCGUAUUCCAGCACAUUCUGGCGCUGUCUCAGACGUUCUAGAGGCUUCUGGGGCUGUCUAGACCGAGCAUCGGCGGGGCAGCACGCACAUGGGCGUGUCUGGAGCCUUCUGGAAGCAUCUGGGGGCGUCGGGCGCGCGCGGGCCUUCCGGAGCCUUCCGCGCACGCGCGCCGUGCGCGCCUCGCGAAGUGUCGCGCGCCUUCCCGAUUCUUCUGGAAGCUUCUCGGAGGUUCUGGGGUCGUCUGGACGUUGGGCGGACACGGGCGCGCGCGUGGUGCUGCGCGCAGCGUCGGCAUGGGCGCGCGCGGGGUCGCGUGCGCCAUGCCUGGACGAGCAUGGGCGGCCGACUGGGGCGCGCGCGGUUGCUUGGCUUGCCGCUUGGCCAUGCGCAUGGGCCCGAUGGUGGGCGCUGGUGCCGGGUGCCUAUAGCUGUGUCAACGGGCAUCUGGGCGUGCCAUGGGGCUGUGUCGUGGCUGACACUCGGGCUGUCAUGGGCACCCGUCGUGGCACGCGUGUGAGGCUUGUGAGCCGUCCUCGAGAGGUGCCUGCCAAUGCCGUGGGCAUAUGUCGUGGUCACCCUUGGGCUGUCUUGGGACCACGUUGGGCUACUCAUGGGCCUUGCUGAAGGAGUCGUGGCACGUAUUAGCACAAUUUUUUGAGACGAUUUUUGGGGUCAAAAUUUCACACGUGACAUAUCGCUAUAAUUUGCAAAGAGAUUUAAUCUAUAGUUCAUAAGCCUGUUAGAUCCUUAAUAUCCUCCCAAAUCUCCAAUGUUUUUCUUUCCAGGUUCUGAAAUACUCUAUUAUUUCUUUCCAGCUAGAUAAUCUAUAGAGCCACAACAACCAUAUUGAAUGUGAUGAUGCCUUUUAUGUUUUUUUGCCUGAUGCUGCAAAUAUCCUUACAUAAGGAAGUCAACUGAUUUGUAUUGCGAUUCCACCAUUUGAUUGUGUGUUCAAGCUUACCCCAUAUAUCUUUAUUAGUGAUAGCACACUUGAUGAAGAUGUGUUCUAUAUCUUCUGAUUGAUUUUUACAUAAAUAACACUAAUUUGGAUUAAGGCAACCAAUUUGGAUUAAGGCAGCAAUUUGGAAGUUUUCUCUUAAGCUUUUUGACUGUAUUGAUGCAUUUGUGUAAGAGGGUCCAAAUAACAAAUUUACAUUUCUUGGGGAUGUCUGACUUCUAUAGAUUUUUUAGGAUGAUUGGAUUGAUGUUGAUUUCAACUCUUUGAUCCACAGUAUGUAUAGCUUUUUUAAUGGAGGUGCGCUUUGUGCCUUUUGACUCCAGGUUGUACGGUUCUCUUGUUGUUGUUUAAUAUAUAUAUACAUAUAAUAUAUAUAUAUAUAAUGUCUAAUUGUAAUUAUUAAGCACAAAGGUAAAUAUAAUAAUGUCUAAUACAAUAUUUUUCAAAUCAAACAGGAAAGCAAAAACUAUUAGGCGCGUCGUUUGACACACAGGUUCGAAAUCAAAUACCAUGGAAAUUAAAUUAUUAUGGACUUAUUUGAUGAGUUCUGAUACCUGAGAAUUACAGAUGUCUGUGUUUGGGGUGCAUGAUUUGGAAAUGUGAAUUUCUAACAACUGUGUUUGGAGUGUUGGUUUUGAAUUUCUGAGUUUAGCUAAUUUGUUUAGUUUUUUAUUUAUUAAUUGUACGUCCUAAAUUUAUUUUGUAUCAGACUUUUAAUUGUUUUUUUUUUCAUAUUUUGUACCUAUAAUUUAAUUUCUUGACUCUACUGAUUUUAAUAACAAUAAUGUAAAAACGAGAAAUUUUAAUAUUUAAUAACAAUAAUUUUGAUUACAGUUACAUUAUGAGUUUUUCUUUUUAACAAAUAAAAUUCUUAAAUCAAUCCAAAUAAGUCUCAAGUUUUCUAGUUAAAUUAACUAACGAAAAAAAUGAAAAAUAUUAUUAAACUAAAAAUAAACCAUGGUAUAUAUAUAUGAUGUAUAUUUACAAUUUUCACUAUAUUACUAAUAUGUUACUAUUUGAUUUAUACCUAAGAUCACAAUAGAUAGUCAUCAAUUUUCACCAUGAAAAAAUAUAACAAAAUAAACAAAAUCUUCUAAAACGAAGAAAAAAUCAAUUUUAAUUUAAAUCAAGAAGAGAAAAUAGAUAAUUAAAAAAGACGAUCUAACAAUAAUAGUUAUUAAAAAAACACCAAAAGAAAAGAAAAUAGAAUGAUGAAAAAAUGCGUAUUUAAAAAAAUAUUAUUGUGAUUAAAUAAAUGCGCAUUUAGAAUGACUUGGAAAAAAAAGUUUUUCAAAAGUUCAUUUUUAUUAAUUUUUCAAGGUUGCAGUGGUUGCAAAAGUUGGUGGUUGGAAAUUCAUCGACAGGGUUGUCAGAAAUGACAUGUAGUGGUUGAUUGACAAUGGUCAUUAAGGAUAGUAUUCGGAGUUGGUCGAUGAAUUUUCUAGAUUGAAUUAGAAAAAAAAUUUAAUGCAUGGACUUGAAUAGUGUUUACUAUGAUUCAAUCCGAUAGAAAAGAGUUAGGAAGCCUUGGUGAAGUUGGUUGUUGAUCAACAGUGAAGACGGUUAACGGUCAUCAAUUUUAAGAUGAUUGGUUGGUCAUCGACCAUCAUAAUGUUCAAAUUUGUAGACCACUAGGGUGGCUCUGCUACGGUCGCUUUGGAAAGAAAGAAACGACAAAAUUUUCAAGAAUGCACAAAGAGAAGUGGCAAACGUUUCGGAGGAUAUUAGUAACCUUAUAGGGUUGUGGUCUAGUAGGGAUAAGAGGUUUAAAGACUAUAAUCCAACAACCAUCUCUUUAUAUUUCAAAGCAUUGUUAGAUUAAUGUAUCACAUGACUUUACUCAAGCCAAUGUAACAUUCUAUGUAACUCCGCUCUUGAAUAAAUUUGUGGCAUAGACUUUACUAUGUCACUAGUUUUUAUUUCAAAAAAAAAAGUUGUAGGCCACUAGUGAUCAAGAUGUUUGAUAAUCAACGAUCGAGAUGAUUAGAAGUUGACGAUCAAGAUGAUCCGAAGUCGACGGUUAAGACGAUCUCGAUCGUUCACGGUCAAUCAUAAUGGUUGAUCGUGAAGUGGGCUAACAUUUGUUGCAAACGAUCAUCAAUGAUUAUUGAUAAGAUGUUAAAGGGAAAAUUUUUCUAAAACAUAUAUAUGACAUUCAAUAAAAAAAAAACAUAUGGGUUUGGAAUUUUAAUCCCAGGAAAUUUAUUUUACGUGUCUAAAAAUGACAAAAUAAGUCAUAAUAAGUAAGUUCAGAGCACACACACUUUAUUAUUUGCGAAAAUGGAAAAAAUGAAGCUUAACCCACACAUUAAAAGGUAAAAUGUCACAAAUGCCCUCAUUAGUAAUAUACGUUUAAUGUACCUUAUACAUGUCUGAUACCUGAUGCUUCUUGAUACACCUGAUACAUUUGAUCAUUGAUACAUUUGAUGUACCUGAUACUUUUUUAUACACUCGAUACCUUUUGAUAGACAUCUGAAACAUUACUAAUAUAUGUGAUUGAUACACCUGAUGCACUACAGAACAUUUAGUAUUCUUCACUUAUACAAUUGAUUGAUUAAAUGCACUUGAUAUGCUUGAAGUCCUACUUAUACACUUGAUAUACUAUUGAUAUGCACUUGUAAACUUGAUUAUAUACUUGAUAUUGAUUCACUUUAUUGAUAUGCUUUAACAAUAUAUUGUUGAUAUACUUGAUAAUGAUACACUGAGUUACCUCAUUCAUAUACUUAAUAAUACUCUAAUGAACUGCAUAAAAUUUAAAAAAAUGAAAAAUCAUGUAAUAAAUAUAUUAACCAACUAAUACAUAUAAUAUAAGUAUAUCACAAAUAUACAAAACUAAGACAAAGUAAAACCAAAACAAAAUUAAUGUAAAAAAAUAAAACAAAAUAAUUUAGAAUCAGAUUCAACUCAAAAUACACAUUAAAGAAAGUAAAAAAAAAUCACAAAUGAAAUUAAAUUACUUCGAUCAACAACUAUUAUAUUUCAUAUUCCAAUUAUUGUACUAUUGAUAUUCUAAAAUUAAGAUUAAGACAGAAAGAAUAAAUAAUUUUUCUAAUAUAAGAACAAACAACUAAUUAUGGCCUUCAAAAGUGGAAGAAUAAAUAAAUAAUGAAGAAGACAUUAAAAAGAGGAAGAGAAAUAAGUUAUUGAAUGAUAGUUCUUGAAUAACAACAAAUUUAAGACAGACGUGAGAAUUUUGUCAUAAUUGCUAUAUCAUAUUCUCAAAAUAAUGUUAUCCUAUACAAGUUCUCUUAUAUUUACAAGCUACAGAAUUUUUUUUAGAUUUUAUCAAUGAUAGAAACUGAUAGACUUCUGUCACUGUCUAUCAAUGUUAAUGAUAAAAGCAUAUAAUUUUCUACCGAUGUUAAUUAUUGAUAGAAUCUGAAAAUUUUACCAUGUGUUGUAAAUAUUUUGUCAAAUUUGCUAUUUAAUUUUGACAAAUUCUCUAAAUCUUAUAAUAACAAUAUAAAUGUUGGUUAUUAUUAUUGAUUUUUAAAGUAAGUUUGAAAUAACUUACUAUACUAUGAUUGUGACUAUGUGUAUAUAUGUGUGAGAUCAGAUAAAAAUGAAGAAGAAAUAUCAAUGUCUUGCAGUAAUUGUCACAUACCUUCCCUUUAAUCACAUGUCCUCUCUUUUAUCAGGGAGUGGGAUAAAAGGCAAGAAUCAUACUCUUUUUUAUAUGCCAAGGGAAGAUUUUUUGGUUGUUCUCAUUGUGUUUUGCAUGGAAUCGAAUUGCUUGUUUGGUGAAAUGUUUAUGAUUCAAAGUUGUCUGUUUGCAUUUAGAAGAGAAUGAGAUGAUAUCGAGGAUUAGCAGAAGAGAAUGUGCUUAAUUAAGCAGCAUAUUCGUGUAGAUAAGUUUUAAAAAGAAUGGUUUUGAUUUGUUGAUAUCUUUAUUUGGUUGGAAGAUUGUCUCCUAAAUUAAUAUUAACUGUAUGCAUUUCUUCAAAUUUCACUCCUUCUUGCAAGAGUAGACAAACUCAAACACUUCUUCUUGCAAGAGCUGCAGAGAAGAUUAAAACAACAAACAUUCUUAAGAGCUGUAGAGAAGGUGGAUGAGAGUCUAAAACAACAACCAUUAAGAAUUGGAUCAAAACGUGUUUGGUCUUUCUAUUUGUUUAUUAGGAUUUGAAAAGUAAAGUGACCAUUUGGCGUAGACGCUGCACUACCACUAUCACAUAUCUUUAUUUAUUAAUUUAUAUUCUUUCUUUGACCUUCACCUUUAUUUUAUAUUAUUUGAAUUUUCUUCCAUCAACCUUUUCCCUUUUUUUAUUUUCUUCCAUAUUUGCUAUCUCUCUGCGUUUUUUUGACCUUGUAAUUUUAAAUAUAUCUAAUAUUUGAGUUUUAAUUAUUUUCACACACCUUUUUUAAUAUUACCAUGCAUUUCCCAUCUGUUCUAAAUUCUCUUUGUUGCUCUUAAUUAAUCCCACUUCUCGACUUGGGGUUGAGUAAUAAUUAGAGAUCCCGUCUAGAAUUCAAACGACACUUUACAAAUAUAUAGCCAAUCAACUCCAAUCUUCUGAUAUGAUACCAUAUAAAAUUAUUUAAAUUUAGUUUUCUGAAUCUAUAUCAAGAUAAUAUCCCAAGUAGCUACGUCUAUAACUGAUAUAAAUCUAUUAAUCCUUGAUAGAAUCUAACAAUGCAAGAUUAUACCAAUAUAAUUACUCUUGAUUUAUAAUCUAAAUUUUACAUUUUGAUCUGGAAUUUUAAGAUUAGGAGUACUCUUUUUUUUUUUUUUUAUUUUAGAAAGAAGUUACAAAAUAUUGUAUGGGAGAUUUUUGACGAGAGUGUUAGGGAAAUGUAUCAAAAUAGCUAAAUAUUACUUACUCAUGUUUUGGUCUGUCUACUGAUCAUUUCUAGUUGUUAGCUGUUCCAAAAGAAAAUUAGUUACAACUAUUAAGCUUCAUGUUGUGCAACUUCUUACAUGGUAUAUUGCUUUCGAAUUGAAAUUUAUGAAGUUUUGUUUUCUUUCUUUUGGACUAAGAAUUCGAAAAGUUACAAACAUGGAUUAUGGCCAUUAUUUAAUAUAAUCAUAUUCAUGGGUAUUUUUCUGGUAAGAUUAGGCUGCUAUUUGGUACAAAAAUAAUUAAGACUUGAAUCAAUUAGUUACGAAACCAACUUCUUUACUUCUUGGCUAAAAUAGAGAUUUUGAUUUUGUCAAAGCUGAAACUUUGACACCUACUUUUCACUUUAAUUUGAAUAUGAUGACUAAAUUACGAGCUUGAUUGACGACGACAUUGACCAUUAUGAAUAGUUGAACUUUGUAUCCACUUUUUCAAAAUAAAUUAGGUUUAAAUAUAUAUAUAAAAUUGUAAUGAAUUUUCCAUAAGAAGGGAACAAUUGCAUGGUAUUUGAUGUACUUUCUUUUAAUUCUUUUCAUUAAUAAUUAUAGCCAGGCCAAUAUACCUUCAAUUAAUUAAAUGGUUGAUUUAAUUAUAUAAAAUACUCGUGAAAUUUUUAUUAUUGAUUAUGAAAUUAGAUACUACUCGAAUUAGUAAUACAUCCAAACAUUUUCACUAUACAUGUUUUAGUACCCUUAUUAUCUUCACUUCAAAUAUAUGGAAUAAAAAUCAGGAAGUAUAGGAUGAUAUUAAGAAAGAGGGUCAUGAAAAGUUUCAUUUGAUCCCUUGAACAUUGAAAUUGAUAAAAAUAUUGUGAAGGGUUAUUUAGUAAAGCUAUAUGAAUGAAUAAUGAAUGACAAUUGGUAUUUGAAAAAUUAGAACACACAUGACAACAUUUACAAUAUCAUUUAUAAUAUUUUAUAAAUAGAUAUAGUAACUUUGGCUCAUAAGAAUUGAUUGUUUAACGAUAUUUUUUAAGCAAAAUGAAUGGUGAAAAAUGAACUUAGUUAAUGUAAUCUAAAGUCAACCAACUGAAAAGAACUUUGAAAAUUAUGGAGAUGGAUUGAUGUAUAAAUUAGGUGAAAGGGACUGAAUUGAUUUUAUAGGAUGUAGUGUAAUAUCAAUGAAAUCAUUUCCAUGCAUAUCCUAAUUUAAUUUUGUCUGUUUUUUUUUUUUAAAUACUCGUAAAUAAAUAUUACUUUUUAUUUACUGGAAAAGCACACACUUUUCAAAGUUAAAAGGUUUAAUAAAUAAUAAAAUUUACUAUAAUGAUACAUUAGGAAAAAAACCUUUUUUUGGCACAACUUUAAAUGAAAUAUAUUAUACAAAUUAUCAUUGAGUUACACUUGAUGGGAUAAUGAUUUUGAAGGGAAUCGAAUGAAAGAUGAUAUGUCAAUUACUUAGUUGAGAUGUUACAUUUAAUGUAAUUAUAUUGUAAUUAUAAAACUUUUUAUACAUGUGUAAACAUUGAAGUCGUCAAUCUGAUGAAUUAAGAUAUUAUAUCAAAACGUCAUAAAUUCAAAUACUAUCAAUAUUGUUCAACUAAAAAAGAUAGAAUGAAAUCCCAAAGUUCCAAGAAUCUUAAUCAUCAUGUAUAUAUCUUCAAUGAUAAAACAAACCAAUAAAGAAUAAUAAACGCAAGAAUUCAAUCACACAAUAUAGAUCAUAUUUUGGGUUCCCCUAUGAUCAUUUAGGCAUAACCACACAUGCCAUAGACACACAAACUUCCUCUAUUGCACUUAUUGUUGCAACCUCCACAAUGCUUUCUAUUAAACAUUGUAUUCACACACUUCCCUUUACAGCAUACCUCCGAGUACUUACAUUUCUUGCCACAUCUCCCACAAUUAUAUCUAUCUCUUUUCAAAUCCACACACUUCUUCUGGCAACAAUUGCGGCCGGGGCUGCCUUCGGCUCGACACACCUUUAUAUUUCUAUCACAUGUCAUUGCUGCUUGAAAGGGCCUAAACUUGUAAGAGAAGAAGCCCCUCCUCCCUCUAAGCGACGUUAGUGUAACUACAUCUUCCAUUUUCUCAUGCUCUUGAGCUGCAUGAGAUGACAAAAGAGAUGUAAACAAGACCACAACAAAGAAUAGCUUUACAAAACACAUCAUUUUUCUUCUUCUUGGGAAUGAGAAUUGAAUAAUAGGUAAUGUUAGAGGGAAAAGGAUAUGAAGGAAUGUAAGAGAGAAGAAUGGUUUGGGAUUAUUGAAGAGAUGAAGAUGGUUAUAUAUAGUUGUAGUUGAAGGGAAAUUCUGAUAGUGGAUGAGUCUAAAACAGCGACCAUGAAGAAGAAUUAUGGGCUAAAACGUGUUAGGUUUUGUUAUGUUAUGUUAUUAGGCAAGGGAAGAUGUGUGGACUCCAUGUGGGUUUUCUUGCUACAAAAAACAUGCACUAAUUUCUUUUUAUUAUCAUUUCUUUAUGUCUUUGACUUUCUCAUCGUUUUUAUAUUGUUUGAACUCUUCUCUUCGGGUUUCUCUCCAUUUUAAUAUCUAACCUUUUUCAGUUUUCUUUUCACACACUUUUUUGAGUUUUUCGUUUUCUUUAAAAAAUUUAAAGGUUAACAAAAAGAACAUGCACAUUAAAAUAUUUAGACACACUGUUUCUAGAUUUGCAAAUAUAACCAAGAGAGAGAAUAGAUAUUUUUAAAAAACGCAAUCCUUAUCAAUGAAAAAAAAACUAUUUACAAAAUAUAACAAAACAAAACUUAAAUGAACUAGUGGAUGUAUUUUGUGAGUAGUUUUAAUAAUUUGCUAUUUUUGAAAGUUCAUCUUUGAAUUUUUAAGUUGUACCAUCACAUUUUUAUCAUAUUUUACAUGAAAAAUAUUGCAAAUAAUAAUAUAGCAAAAUUUGAGCUCCCCAGCCGAUUUACACAGGGGCGCACGUGCCCCGAAUUUAUUGGUUUUUGCAUUUUGAGUACAUAUUUUAAAUACCUUGUAAAAAUAUAUAUACGCAAAUUUAACAUAGUUCCCAAAAUGUGAUGGUGUUGAGUGGUAGGGAGACAAAGGGUAAUUUGUAGGUUCAUUAUGCUUCCCUACACCAAAUGGAAACAGAGGCCAGCUAGGACAAACCCAUUUGGAAGGACGAUGACACCAUGGACAUUUUGCAAAAAAGGCUCCCAAAUCCUUGUCUCACCCGUUCAAGGUGAAGAUAUUGGGCAUUUGUUCUUCCACUGCAGAUGGCUAUUUGUGAUCGGCUGGCUAUACAUGUGGGCUGGACUAAUAGAAAUAGUGACAUGGAAGUCCUCUGUAAAGACCUUUGCUCUUUUAACCUCUCCACAAAAUAUCUGUGGCUAUUUCAUGGUCAAUUUCGUUGGAGGAAAACAGUAGAACGUCCAAUGACAAACAUUCCAGCGCCACAAACAUCUGGGAAAACGUUUGCUUCCUUAGAGGUUGUUGGGCUAGCCAUUAUAAGUCUUCUGAUUAUAGUGCAUUAUCCACAGUCCACAGAUGCUUUAAUAAUCUCAAUGACUUUGUAAAACUUUUAUUGGUAUUCUCUGAAGCACUUUUUUUUUUUUUUUUGUGCUCAUUGUCUUCUCCGAUCCUAUUAAUUAAUGGAGUGGGAUGAUGAAAGUACUAGAAGAAUGUUCACUUACAUAAGAUACUUUGGUGUACCAGUUUACAUAUGUUGCAUCUUCUUCUUCAAAAAAAAGAAAAAAACUGGUAAGUUGCGAGUUCAAACCUCUACUUCAUCCAUCCAUUUUUCUCUAUUAUCUUGUUACAAACAAACAUCUCUGAUCCACUAUUUUAGUUUUUAAUUUCUUUUGAAAGCAAUUUCUUCAAAUUCUAAUGUUGUUCUACUUGUAGAAUAGAAUGUUAUUUAGGUUCAAAAAAUAAAAUAAAAACCCUUAACUUAUUUUUUAACCUUCAAUUUAUUUAAUUUAGAUAUUAAAACAAACGUAUAAAUGUUUAAUUAAUUCAACUUCAAACAAAAAAUUAUUUAAAAUUUUUCUCACAUAGGAAUAUCAAUUUUAGAAAAAUUAGUUGUUUCAAAUUUUAUUUGCUUAUAUAUUUAGAAAUUUUAUAAUAUUUUAUAUUUAUAUAAAUUUUAAAUUAAUCAAAUUUAUUCUCUAAAUUUUUUUAAUUUCGUUUAACAAAUCUGUAAAAUUUAAAGAUUUUAAAGAUUUUCUAAUAAUGAGAAUGUGGACCAACACUAAGAAAAAACCAGACAAUUAUAAUGUGAUGAGACAAAUGAAAUUUAAAUAUUCUUACCAAAUAUAGUAAUUAAAAUUCAUGAUUAUAAUAAAAUAAGUUGGAAUCUCAAUUAUAGAAAUUUAUUACUAAUAGAUGAUAUUGUAAAUAUUAAUCUAUCAGCGAUAGACCACUAAGAGUCUACUAACGAUAGAACUCUAUUAUUUUUUAAAAAAGGAUGUAUUGAAUAGAUAGCGCACCGAACAUCUUCACUAUGUGACGAUAGAACCUUAUCAUUCAUAGACUUUACUGUAUUUAUAAUUAUAUUUACAAUUAUUUUAAAUAUGUUGGUCUCUUGGAUUAUUUUCUCUAAGAUUAGUGAGCCCAUUGACUUAAAAAGAUCGAGAAAGUGUGAGCCCAUUACCAUAUCAUAUAACGUAAUAAAGGAUUCCUAUUCAAUUCUUGAUGAAGUUUGUUUGUAUUUAAUAUUCUUAUACAGUUUGGACAAAAUAUAAUAUAUAUAUAUAUAUAUAUAUAUAUAUAUUCUUCUCCUCAAUAAAACACUAAUUAAGUUAAUAAAUAAAGUGCAAUUGGUAAAUUGUUUAUUUGGGAGGAGCUAGAGAGAGGCAUCAGAUAAUUUAAACUAAGUUGAUACAUCACUAACACAUUUCAUCAUAUACACAAAACUCAAAAGUGAUGUAUUCAAGUAUACAAAAAGUACAAGUAUUGAUAUUUGGGAGGAGCUAGAGAAAAAGCUCUCAGACAACAAAGGAGGAGGAAUGAUGAAACACAUAAAAUGCAAUUCAACCAAAAAGAAGAAAAAAUGAAGCUUUAUCAUCACCAUUGUUGACGAACAAGGCAAGAUGUUUAUUUUCAUUGCUACAUUGUGUUUUUCUUGGUCAUUUUAGAUUUUCUAGUUUUUUGUUCUCCAACUAUAAGAGAAUAAGCUUGGUCCACCGUUGGAGAUGGCCUCACAGCAAGGAUUUGGGAGCAAAGUAAGGAAUAAGAAUCGUUUAGUCCCAAAAGAAAUUGCAUUAGUUUUUCUCUUUCCAUGAACUCACUCCGCUCCUCAAUUGCAUUAUUGGAUGAAGAUUGAGGGGAAUUAAGGUUGAUUGAAGAAGCUGCAGCUUCAUUCCAUAAUGCCUUGAGGUUUCUGAAGUAAGAUUUAAUGGAUGUGUUUCCUUGACGAUGAGAUGCAAUCAACUCAUAAAUUUUAAGUAACAUUGUUGGAGAAUUGCUCUCAGAAUUAUGUUGUUCAAUAAUUGUAUCUGAACUCACGGAUUUGUGUAUCGAUCUUGAUUGAUGGACGUUGUUCGCAACAACAUCAUUAACUACACAACAUUUUCAAUAAUAUUGGUGCAAAAUUCAAUGUUUUCAUAUGAAAUAUGAUUUUUUUUAAACAAAAUACUGCUGCAGGAAAAUUACAAGAACUAACCCAAACAUAGGAUUACUAAAAGUCAAACCCACUUUGAUUCCCUAUGAUUGAUUCAAAAAAAAUAUAAAUAUUUAUCACUUUAUUUGUAUAGAUGGUAGCUAUAUCUAUUUUUGUAAAGCUACUUUAAUUUUACAUCCUUACAAUCUCUCAUUUAGAUGUGAUUUUAAAUACUCAACCUUAGUCCCAGCGUUACAAAAACCAUAAUAAAAAAAGCUAUACAGGAAACAAACAUAAAUAUCAAAAACAAAGAAAUAUAAGAACAAAAUCGUUGUCGAACUGGGGCAUAACUAGUUUUUGAAGAAUGAGAUCUAAAAUUUAAAAAAUGUGUUUCUAAUAGAUUAAAUUCAGUUAGUUUAAAAAAAAAAAAACAAAAAAAAAGCUAAUAUUUGAGGAAAAGGGUAGUAAACGUAAGCUCACCUUCGUGAAUAGAGAGGUGAUGCAAUUGAUUUUGAAGAAGAUGAUCAGCAGUUUUGACAGGGCUGGGAGAAUGAUUUGGAGAAUCAGAAAACUUAUGAUGACUCGAACCAUCCUUAGGAGUGGCAAUUCCAGCUUUUUUUUUUCUUGUUUGAAGACUUAUAGGUUGAGUUGCUGCUUUAGUCAGGUGCUGAUGGGAAGUGGGAGUUGCUAAGUGAAUGGUUGAUUCAGGGGCAGAUAUGGUGCCUGAUAGAUGGUCGGGUGGCGUCUUUCUGGGAUUGGAUCUUCUUGGACUCAGAAAUCCCCUCGACGUCAUAUCUUGAGUUACAACCUUAAGCUUAGUUUCUGAUGUGAUGUGAGAAAUUUAAUUCUGGGGAUUUAAGAUGGGAAAGAAGAAAGGGUAAUUUCUCAGAUCAAGUCAAACGCUUGUGUUCUUGAUGCCAUUUGAUCCUAAAAAUAAUAAUAUUGAAGGCAGUGGGGAAUCUAGAAACUAUAUUUAUUUCAUUUUAUUCAAGCUUUCACAUUUCUUUUAGAUAACAUACUAGAUUAUUGUAUUAAGGUCCCUCACAAUUAUGGCCUACUCUUUUUUAAUAGAUAAAGAUAUAGUAAAUUGGAAAAUUUUCGUACGACUAUAUAAUACUAUAGAUUUUUGUAGAAUGCACAAAGUAUUGCUCCAUUGUGAACGGAAGACUUUCAUGAUCAACUCUCAUAUAGGCUUCACUAAAAAAAUAUAGUUAAAUAGAGAGAUUGAGAAGCUAGAAAAGAAGGAAGAAAAAUGUAAAUGAGGCUUUUCAUUAUAGUUUUGACUAACAUAAGAUUGUUGAGGCCUCUGAUCCAUCACAUUGAACCAAUGUAUGUAUAUACAUUGAUCAAGAACUCCCAUUAUUAUUAGGUUGUAGUUUUUGUAGCUAGAUCAAGUUGGGUAAGAACAAAUUUAAAAUCUUUUUGAUAAAAAUAAAGUUCAUAAACUUUUUUUUUUAAAAAAAAAACAUACGUUAGGUCAACAUGUGCAUUUGAAUAUCUCCACUAGCUAGGUGAAUCCCUUAGCACCCUCAUCAUCCCCACUUUUAUUAAUAUAUGAAGAAUUAAUAUAAUUACAGCGGGGACAAAGCACUGAUGCAAUGGUAUUAAAAGUGAUGAUACCCCUUUUAAUUUGUUGCGUUAUUUUAUUGAGCACAAGGAUACAACAUUCUGCUGUUGGUUUUUCCAUUCAAGAAGACCUUCAAGCUUGUUCCAAAGAAUUUUAGCAGUAUGACAAUAUAUGAAAAUAUGAUCAAUCUCCUUUGAGUCUUUUUUACAUAAAGAACACCAAUUUGGACUCAGAUUGAGAAUUGGAACUUUUCUCUGAAGAAUGUCAGUAGUGUUAAUACAAAAGUGUAAGAGAGACCAUAUGAAGAAACGAAUUUUUUGGGAUUUUGGUUUUCUAAAGUUGAGUAAAGAUGUUAUCAUCAAUAUUAAUAUCAUCUCUUUGGUUCAAGCUGAAAAAGACUUUCUUAACAAAAGCAACAAAUAAUUUACCAUCAAUGUUCAAAUUCAAAACAGGAUAGUCAAUGCCUUUACUGCAUUUGGGGAUAUAAAAUUUUGCUUGAUUUCAUUCCACUGCUAACGUUCAUAAUUUCGAGGAGGUCUUCUUGGUUUGAAAUCCCAAUGCAAAAUGCUAGAAUUUCACAUGUCUUUUACAGAGCCAUUUCGGAUGGUAGAUAAGGCAAAUAGUCUUGGUUUUAUGUCUGUAUCUAAGGGACUAAUCUCACACCAAUUUCCUUUCCAUAAGGAGAGAUUUUCACCAUUAUUUACCGUCCAUUUGAUUUGGGCAUUACACUAGUCGACACCUUAGCUUUGAUAAUAUUUCUUCAAGGUGCUUUCAAAGGACUAUAUUUUCCAUAUGUAGACAACUCUUCAAUGAAAGACUGAUUAUAUUUAACAGUAAUAAUUUUUUUCUAGAGGAGAUCGGCUUCGAUCAGCAUGGAAUCUCCCUAGCCAUUUGCACAAGAAGGAGAAGUUUGUAUCUGCUGCCCAAACCACCCUUUUCAAUAUAAAUUUCUAGAACAUUUUUUAAAAAAUAAUUUAGCCUUUUAUUUAAAGGUUUUCAGAAGUCUUUUGCUUUGUAAGUUGGGUAUGUAAGAAUUUAGAUUGUUGAACUCAUUCAUGAAUUUUACUAUUGCAUUUCUUUUUAGUUAAUGUGAAAAAUUGGGAAGUGUGUUAUCAAUAAGUCGAAUAUUUCUACCAAAUUAAGAAAUUGAAAACAUGAGACGAAAGAGUCAUCAAAUUAUUCGAUGGAAGCCACAUCUUUUCUUUUUAAAAUUUUGGUUGUUCUUUUAAUAAAAUCUUUUGCCAACUAAACAAAUUUCAUACUUGAUAUUGAAUUUACUUUUAUUGCAUUAUGUAAAACUCUCCGUUGGAAGGAUUUCCUCUAGCCCCUGUUUGAUAUCUGUUUGAACUCUUAAUUUGGAUUGCGCGUAUUUCAUUGAUGUAUCCUUUAUCGAGACGUGAUGAUGAUAUUAAGGAUGUGUCAAUCUAAUUGAGAUAUUUAGGUACGUCCACUGACUCUCUACUUUAGUAAUUCUUUUAAAAAAAUUGAUUAUGUUUUACUUUUGUACAAAUUAUUAAUAUCAAAAUGUAAAUCAACAAAAGAAUGAAAUAUUCUCUUAUUUUCCUAUUUUCUUCAACUUUUGUACAAAUAUCUAACUCUUGUCAACUUUCUUCAAUUAAUUUAUAUUUUAAAAUGUCUUUAAUUUUGUGUGAAGCUCAUUUGAACGAAAACAGGUUCUUAACUUUCAAAAAUCAUGUCAUGAAUCAUAAACAUAUUAAAACAACAUAGCUAGCUAGAUAGUUCUGUAUUCAUGUAAUUGCACUAAAAUAGCCUUUUCUUGUUUGUUCUCAAAUAAAAUCGAACCCAAUAUGUUGACCGCAUUGUAUCCACAAACAAUUUAAAGUGAAACACACAAAAACAGGCAAUUGGAAGGAUGAUUACUGCUCCAACGAUCAAUGGAAUUUUCACCGUUGUUUUAUGAUACGCAAUAAAGAAGGUUGCACUGAAAGCCACCAUCAUGCAAGCUAUAGAAAUAAAUAGUGUCAUUAACCCAAUUAAUAACUUGCUUGGCAACCAUAUCAAAAAAUCUUCUUCCGCAUAGCGCGCCGUCAAAAUUGAUAAAAAUGUGAGUAUAGAAGUCGUAGACAUCACCAGAGCUGCAACAUCAGAUAUGACGAACACUGUAAAUACCUGAUUCUUUUGGAAAAUAGGAAUGCCGUCUUUAUCAUCGUUGCCUCCUGGAACCGUGAAUGCCGCCGCGAAAACAACCGUGGCUAUUAAAGCUGCCACCAGCAUGCACGAGUUUGCAGUGUUUUUCAUCCACUCUUCCCCUUCUUUCAGUAGGUGUUUGUGCUCUUUUGUGAAGAGUUCACGAGGUGUUAGUCUAUCAUCAUGCUCGUUUUUCAUCUUCAUUUCAUAAUAAGAUGGGAUAACGAUUUUCUCCACUUCCUUGAAUUAAGUUAAAGAACAACAUUUCAAAAUAAUGCUCCCAAAUAUAUAUUUUUUUAAAAAAUACAUUAAAUUAAAUGUAUGCGUCAAAGAAUGGCGUACCUUAAACCACCGUAACUCGUAUUGCAUUUGCAGAGCUUUCCCAGACACUACUUUGUUUAGGUGAUAUGGAGAUGCCAACUUUCCAGCUAAGUGUAGAAUGUUACAAUCAUUCUUUUCAUUGUAACCAUUGGCAAGGUAAUUCUUCACCCCUCCUAUCUCAUGCAUAAGACUAAACACAUUUCCUUGUCGAUUUUCAACCGCUACGUGAAAUAUGGUUUUGUUGUCCUUGUUAGCCAUCCAUAACAAAUCGGGAUAGGACCGAAUGAGUAUUAUCAAGAACUCCACAUUUCCAACGCUUGCUGCAUCGAGCAAUAAAUUUGAGGGAGUUAAUAUCAACUUGUGUAGUUCGAGUGUCGAGAGGUCCUCAACCACAAAAUUCCAUAGACUUUCAACAACUUGAUGGGCUAAUGUCUGCAUUACAGUUGUUUUGUAAAUCCUAUUGAAGCCUACAAAAUUAAUUAAAUCACAUAAACAUAUAUAAAAUCAUAUAACUAAUGAGAAAUCAAUGAUAUUGGAUAUGUAUUUAAUUACGAGAGUUUAUAUAUUUUUUCCAGAAGCAAAGCUUGUUGCUGCUACCAAUUGCAUUUGGCUUUCUAGAUAGUAAAUGCAAAGCUGUUUCACCAGUUCCUCCCACCCUCUCCUUUGCUAAAUCAGGUUUCUUUUUCAGAAUAUCUAAUGCUAUAUCUACAACAAAAGAAAUGAAGAGUAAGAACAUUGAAUAUAUAGUAUUAGUUAAAGAUUAUUGUUAUAUAUCAAAUAAGGGAUUUGGAAGUAAAACCAUAGUAAUCACUGUCCACUGUAGCUAAGAGAAGAUCAAGUUGCUGAUUAGUUUGUAGAUCAUUAAAAUUAGUCUGAGAGAAAAGAUAAGAAGCCAUGUCUUUGAGUUUGUAAAAUACAGAACUAAGAAGUGGAACAUAUUUAAGAUGAGCAUCAUCAACAGGAUCUCGAAGCUUGUGAUCAUUGUCAACAAUUGUUUCAGCGAUCCUUACAAUUCCUGAUACAGCAGCAUAAGCAAGGGCAGUACGUCCAUCUCUAUUUUUUAUAGCUAAGUCAAAGCCAUUUGAAGAGUAAAGUUUAACCAACUUUUCAACAAAAGAAAUAUGCUUUCCAGCAGCAGCAAUAUGGAGUGCCGUAUUCUCUCUUAUAGUUAUCUUCUUAGUGAUCCAUGAUGAAUCUUUUUUAAAUAUAUUAUUGGCAGCUUCCCAAUCACCCUUUAAAGCAGCUUCAUGUAACUUAACAGCAUUUUUAAUGUUUUCUUUACUCUCCAUUGAUGCACCUACAAACAAACAAUCCGUAAUACCAACAAAAAAAAAAAAAAAAAAACAAAGAAAUUUAAAGUUUAAACAUUAACUUAAGUCAACAAUAAUUUAAGUCUCAACUUAUAAUAUCAAAGUUGUAGUAGAUACAUGAAUAAAACAUUAAUAACCAAUAUUUACAACAUGGUCUAUCAUUGAUAGAUUUUACAUAUAUUUGAAAUUUUAAAAAAUUUUAAAAAAUGUUGUUAUAUAUACUAAUACUUUGAAUCUAGUUGCCAUUUUUAAAUCUAUUCCACAAAUUUAUAUUUUAUUAGAAAUUUUCUUUUGCUAAUGAUUGGAGAGUUUGCAAUGUGAUAAUGUUAGGGAGAGGGGAUGUAAACUUAAGGAAAAGUGCAUGAAAUUAACAACAGAACUAUGAAGGGAUAUAUAUGAACAUAGAGUUUCUAGAAAUGAAAUCCUCAUAUUCUACCUUGUCCGUCGAUUAUAUUGAUCACCACAGUGUCGGCAACAGAGGUUUGUGAAGGAGAAGAAGAAGGAAAAUAAGAAAUAGGAUCGUCGGAAGUCAACGCUGAGCUUCCCAUAUCGGCGUCCUCCCACUCUUCCUAUCUUUCAGAUCUUAUGGAAGCUAGCUAGAGACAUCAAACAAUGGUUACGUUUUUGAUAAUAUAUGGAGUACUGUUUUUUUUUUUUUUCAUUUAAAUGUUGUUUUAUAAAUAAAAUACAUCACAACGUGGGACGACAUGAGCAAAUAUCAAAUACAAUUAUAUUUAUUGACAAACUCAAAAUAUUAUUUCACUCAUAUAUUUAAAUAAGGAAGAUCAAUAGAAUGUAUAUUUAUGAGCUGCAUAUAUAGGAUGUUUAUUUAAUUGGACUCAAAAUAUUGUAUACAUUAGCUGUUUAGAUAUUGCUAGUUAAGCUCUUGUUUCAUGUGUUUUUUUAAUGGAUAUUGUAUUAAGGAUAAUAUGCUAAUGUUGACUUGUGGUGUGAACUAUUGAUAAUUAAUUUUCUAUUUUUGAAUUAAAUAACACAAUGACAACUAUAUAUAUAUUAUUUUUAAGAGAGAAAUAGACAGCUAUGAUUGGACAUAUGAAUUUAUGAGACUAAUAAAAGAAUUGAACUGUUAUGUUCAAAUAGGCAAUUGUAAUUUAAUGGUGUACUCAUCAUUAAUUUUCUGUACAAUUUCAGUUGUCACCACACCCACAUAGUUGCCUUCUAUCAAUAAUCUCCACCAUAUAUAUAUAUACACACAUAUGUUCAUAUAUUAAUUAAAAUUUUGUACACUCCCAUCCCUGUGAAUCUUUCUUUUUUUUCUUCGUGUGACUAGGGUGUCAAGGAAAUGUCUAUCUAAUAAGAUGUCUGAGUGCACCUGACCCAACGUAUUUUUUUAAUAUAUAUUUAUUUUGAAAAAAAUAAUUAUUUUUUUUUGAAAAAAAAAGAGAUGUUACAUUCUUUCUUUAAAAAAAAUAUACAAUGGUUAGUAAUUAUACCACGAUAUCUCUACUAGAGGAACACCCCUUUAGCACCCUCAUCAUUUCCUAUUCAUUGAUAUAUAAGAGACAAAAGUACAAGAAGCUCGGAAAGUACAAAAAAGACUAGAGAGAAGCCCAAUAGACCCACAAGUUAGAAUUAAAAAGCAGUUAAAUUUACAGCAAUGCUACUAGUCGAGUAGUUUCUAAAGAGAGGAGAACGACUGGUCUAAAAACCGAUAAGAGCUUGAAUGUCUUCCCAAAUCAGAGGGGAGUUUUUUACAUCAUUAAAAAUCUUCUUAUUUCUUUCAUUCCAUAUGGACCAAAGGGUGACAGCUAUUGCGUUCAAGAUGAUAAUUUGCUUCUUUGUUUUCACCUUUGAUCUGCCUAUACUUUUGCAAAGGGAGACAAUGUUCUAAAAUAUGAAGGAAUGAUUAAUCAGAUAACCAACUUUUUUCCAAAUAUCAUUUGCAAGUGGGCAAGGGAUAAAAAGAUGAUUUUUCUAUCUUCAUCGGCUUUUUGGACAUAACACACCAGGAUGGUUUCAAGCUCCAUAAUGAAAGUCUGCUUUGUAAAAUUUCAGUUGUGUUGAUACAUUCAGAAGGAGGAACCAAAUAAAGAAUUUGCAUUUUUUUGGGAUAGUCGACUUUCAAAGAUUUUGAUAAAUCUACUGAUUUGAGUUGUUUAGAUCAGCUUGAUUACUGUUAUGUAAAGCCUGUUGAAUGGAGGCAAUCGUAAAGCUGCCAUUAGAAUUCAAGUUCUAGAUAGGAUGGUUCUGGCCAUUAGAAAUCACGUGAUUUUCAUCUCAUUCCAGAGUUGUGUCUCCACACUUCUCAAUGGUCUUCUAGGAAAAAGGGUCCAAUUUCGAAUUUUCAAUGUUCCAUAUAUCUUUGAUAGAGUCCCAUUUUAUAGUAGUGAGAGUAUAUAGCCAUGGAUUGUGUAAAGAAAGAGGAAUAUUUUCAUGCAAAAAACUGCCAAAAGAUUGGGAAUCACCACCCUUGAUUUUUCAGUUAAUUUGAGGAAGGAACGAUUCAAUACCUUUAAUGAUAGAUCUUCAGGGGGCUUUUAAGCUACUGUAUUUACCUUUUGUAGGAAUAUCGACCAUAAAAGAUUGUUCAUAUUUAGCUAAUAUUAUGCGUUUCCAAAGAGGAUCCUUUUCCUCAAGAAACCUCCACAGGACCCCAACCAUUUACACAAGAAGGCAAAGUUUGUGUUUGAGACUAAAUUGGUGUCGAGCCCACCUUUAUUUAUGGGAAAAGUAAUGAUCGGCCAUCUUAUGAGGUGGAUGUUUUUCUUUUUUUUGGAGUUUCUCCAAAGAAAGUUCGUCUAGAUUUUCUCAAUAUCUCUACAUAUAGAAAUGAGAGCUUUGAACAUAGAUAAAUGAUUAUUUGGAAUGCUAGAAAGUAUAGCACUUAUAAGGUAAUUUUACCACCCUUGGAGACACAAGAAUAUUUCCAAUUAUUCACUUUCUUGUGUAUUUUAUCAAUAGUCUCAGCCUAGAAUUUUUUUGAUAGUGGCUUGCCCCUGAUGGAACUCCCAAGUAUCGUAUGGCAAAGAAUUUUGGAAUAUUCCCCAUUUUGCUGCCACGCUGUUAGUUCUUUCGAAAUCAGAGUUGAUAGGGAAAAUGGUGGACUUGCUAAGAUUUAUAUUGAGGCCUAAUGCAAGUUCAAAAAGACGAAUGGCGUAUCUCAUAUUCUCAAUUGAUUCAUCAUCAUCUUUCAUAAACAGUAAAAUGUCAUCAACAAAUAAGAGAUAUGAGUGAGAUUUUGAUCCCGAUUGAAUCUAACUCCCUUGAUUUUGUUUUGUGCCUCUAGGAAUUUAAGAAGAAUGCUAAGGCAAUCCAUCCCAAGGACAAAGAUGAAAGGGGAAAUGGGAUCCCCUUGCCGAAUUUCUCGUUGUGGGUUGAAUUUUACCUCUAGGCCUGUCGUUAAUCAAAAUAGAGUACUACACACUUGAAACACAAAAUUUGAUCCAUUUUCUCCCAUUUGGAGGAAAACCGAUUUUCAUGAUAGCAUAGAAUCAAUGAAAUUCCAAUUGAUUUUAAUGAAAGUCUUCUCUAUGUCAAUCUUGACUUUCAUGAUUUUCAAGCGUAGUCCACCGCCUCAUUAGCAAUCAAAAUGAUGUCUAUUCUAUGUCUUCCUCUAACAAAUGUCGUUUGGUUUUCUGAUAUAGUAUCUGGAAGGGUAGAUUUGAUUCUUUCAGCAAUAACUUUAGCAAUGAGCUUGUAUAAGACAGUUGUAAGACUGAUGAGUCCGCAGACAGAUGUCUCCAAGCAUUUCUCCUUCUUGGCGAUGAGAGCAAUAUUGAGAUGUUAGGUUCAUGACCCCCAAAGAAAGAUCCCAAAGAAUAUUCAUAUCUUUCAUUAUAUUCUAAAAAAAAAAAGAUUCUCUAAACCAUUAAUUCUCAACCGAUUUAAGUAUUAAUUGGUUUUGUUUAUACAUGUUAUAUAAAAACAAUAAAGUUGUGGGGGCUCGAGCCCCCCUGGGCCUAUACUAAAUCUGUCGGUGCUUAUAAAUGAUAAAUAUGAAAUCCUCAAACCUAUGUAAUCAAUACAAUAUAAGUACAAUUGGGGUCCAAUUUUAAAUUUUGAAUAAAUUUGAGAGAUUAACCUUUUAUUUUGAAAAUUUAAAGCUAUAAUUGCAACUAUCAUGGUACGUGAUUUUUACCGUUUGUCUUUUUUUUUUUUUUUUUUUUUUUUUUUUUUUUUGUAGUAACCUAUCAUUAAUCUAUGCUCGAAAUAUAAGUUGGUCUUUAUAUUAAUUAUAUAAAUAUAAUAAUAAUAAGAUUAACGAUAUUACUAUUAUAUAAAGGAAAAAGUGGAAGUGAUGGAUGGGUGUUUGUAUUAUUAGGUAAGGCCAGGAGAGUAGUUUACAUAACAUCUGAAGCGGGUGAAAAGAAUUAAAUAUGGAGCUUACGUAUAAUUGAACAUACACAACUGUAAUUGAACAUAGAAGAAUGGAUGAGUUGGAUGCAUAAAUAUAGGAGAAAAAAAAAGAAAAAAAAAGAGUUGGAAGUAAUAGAUGUAAAAGCUCACCGUCGUGAAUAGAAAAGAGUUGUAAUGGCUUUUAUAAAUUAUUUAACACCCCUCGUUAUAUUAAGGAAUUCUGCUAGUAAUAUUAGAACUACUAACCCAAUCAAGGUAGCUAGCAUUGAAAUGUUGAUCAUGUAUAAUGUCGGUUUGAAACCGACAUUAAAGAAAACCAACAUUGAAAACCUUUAAUAACACGAUCUUCAAUGUUAGUUUUCAACCGACAUUGUACCUCUAUAAAGUCAAUUUCAAACUGACAUUAAAACCCAUUUUUAGCAGUGGUAGACCAUAUCCAUGAUCAUCUAUAUAUCACUAAUAAAUCAGCAAUAAAAUUCUAUGAUCGAUAGACUUUGCUAUAUUUUCAUUUUUUUAAAUGUCAUUAUACAAAAUUGGUUAUUAUCCUUAAACCUCUUACUCUUUACAAUUAGAAAAUUUAUGACAAAUAACACAAUCUAAAAAAUUAAUUACAAAUAUAGAAACAAAGAUAAAAUGUUUGAAAUAACAAAUGUUGACUAGUCGACUAGUAGAUUUUUUAAAAUGUCAAGUUUUCGCUUUGAACAAUUAUCAUUGAUAAAAGCUAUUAUUAAUAGCUACUAUCGAUGACAACAACUGAUAGCACGUGUUUUUUAGUGAAAACUAGGGAUCAUGACAACUAUUUAUAUAUAAUUAUAUAUGUAUAAAGGAUGAUAGCUAUUAAUGAUGACUCUUAUCCUUCCUCCUUGUACUAUAUAUAUACACACAAUUAUUGGUGGUUUAAAUGUCAUUAAUGCCCUCCUUUUAUUAUUAUUAUUUUUUCUUCUCUUGCUUUUAACUUUUUUUCCUUUUUUCCUUUUUGCCUUUUAAUUCUUACUUUUUGUAUUUCUUUUUAUUUAAAAAUGAAACGGCAAUUAGAGACUGUCUCCAACAAAAUUUGUUCUUUUUUUCCCUAAACCAAACAAUUCAAUCUCUCUCAUAUUUUCUGUAUAUUCUUUAAAUUAAACCUUUUUUUUCCAAGGAUAAAUCAACUGUUUUUUAUAUUUAAAAAGUCUUUAGACAUAAUAAUAUCAAAUUGAAAGUGAGAACAUGAAUGACUGAGUAAAAAAAAUCAAAGUAAUGCAACAUAGAAAAUGACCAAAAAAAAAAUUAUUGAGAGGAAAUGUAUAAUAUCCUUAAAUUAAUUAGUAUAAAAAGAGACGACUUUGAAGUCAACCAUUCUUUUUCUACCUCUCCAACAAAUUCAACUUACAUCUUUGUUGAAAAAAGAAGUUGUGUCUUAAGUUUUAGAUGAAGCAUAGACAUAUGUGGGUAGAUCUUGUUUUUUCCUUUUUAUAGCAAUUUUAGAAAUAAUAAUUAAGUUGUUUAAAAAAUUGUAAAUAUACCAAAAUGUAUUGAUAGACUUUUUUGAUCUAUUAGUGAUAGUUCAAUAUUUGCGAUUUGAUCUAUCAAUAAUAACUUUUAUUAAAAAAUAAGACAUCCUAAAAAUCCCUCUAAUUAAAAUAAAUAUUAAAAACUUUGGAUGUGAGAAACAUAGAAAAUCGCAACAUUACAUUUAAGAAAAAAAAAGUGGGAGAUAUUAACAAAGACUUGGAUGACCCACAGUGAUUAUUGAUCGACGAGAAUGUGAAUAGACAAUAAGAAAAAACCAAAUUAUUAAAAUGAUAAUGAUACAAAUGAAAUUUAAUUCUCACCUAAGGUCCACUAAAUUAUUCUUUUCACAAAGUGAUCAUCAGCCCAUUCCCAUACUCUCACCUAACGUGCAAUAAAGAAUUCCCCCUAUUCAAUAUAUUUUUAAUGUGCUUUUUUUUGUUGUAUUCGAUACUUAUGUUACAUUUAAUAUUCUUAUAUAGCUUGGACAAUAUACAUUUUUUUUUUCUCCUCAAGUUAAUCUUGAUAAGACCCUAAACAAACAAACAAAUAAAGUGAAAUAAGUAAAUUGUUUUUCUUUUAACAAGGUACUAGAGGUAGGGAUUAAAAAAAUGCACCAGAAGACUUCAAUCAAGUUGACACUUUCUUGUUUUUUCUGAAAACAAAUAACUAAGCUUGUGGAGUGUGUAGACUCACGUAGGCAUCUCAACUAAGUUCAUCAUCCAAAAGCAUUGUACUGAUGAAAUCAGAUGGUACAAAGGAGAUAGAGAGAAACUUGAGAACAAACAAUACAAGCAGGGAUAGGUUAGAGGAAAGCUUUCUUAUUGAGCGCAAAGGGUGUACUCUUUGUUUAUUUAAAGGCAUUGCUUGUGGACUCAAAUGUGAAAGGAGAAACGAUAAAACAUAUAAGGAUGUAAUCUAUAAAAAAAGAAGAAAAAAAUGCAUUAGUAUCACAAUUGUUAAAAGGUUGCUUUUGAAGAAAUGAAACCAAAUGUUUUUCAUUAGUACUUAAAUUUGCAUUUUUUUUUUUUCUAAGUGUUGGAUUUCCUUCUUCUUUCUUCUCUAAUUUUUGUAAAAUAAGCUUCGUCCACCAUUUGAGAUGGCUUAAGGAGGAAUUGGGAGCAAAGUGAGGAAUAAAAAUCGUUUAGUCCCAGAGAAGUAGCAUUAGUUUAUGUUCUUUUUAUGCGCUCAAUUUUCUCCACAAGUGCAAUAGUAAAGGAAGACUGCAGAGGCGAAUUAGUACAGGUUGAAGAAGCUGCUUCAUUCCAUAAUGCCAUGAGAUUUUUAAAAUAUAUUUUACUUUUCAAUCCAGAAAACAAAAUAAUUUACCAAACAUAUAUAUGAUUUUUGUUUUUAAUAGUUAGCUUAGUCUCUAAUCAGAACAAUUUGGCUAGAUUAACUCAUGUGCUCCAGGACUUCGACCCGAACUUCCAUUAGGACUAGCUCUUAGAUUGUAACUAAUUAAGUGUAACAUUUUUUUUCAUGUUUGAAUAAACCUUUAUUAUAUAUUCUUCUUCUCCUCAAUAAAACACUAAUUAAAUUAAUAAAUGAAGCUAAUUGUUAUUUUUAAUCGGAUACUAGAGAGAGGGAUCAGACCAUUUCAACAUACCUGAAACCCAAAAGUGAUGCAUUAAAAUAUACCAAGAGUUUACAAGUAUUGAUAUUCUGGAGGAUCUAGAGAAAAAGCUCAAACAACGGAGGAGGAAUGAUGAAACACAUAAGAAUACAAUUCAACCAAAAGAAGAAAAAAGAAAAAAAUAAGCAUUAUCAUCACCAUUGUUGAUGAACAAGGCAACAUGUUUAUUUUGAUCAUUACUACAUAAUAUUCUUUUUGGCCAUUUUGGAUUUCCUAGUUUUUUCUUCUAGAAUUAUGAGAGAAUAAGCUUGGUCCACCGUUGGAGAUGGCCUCUCAAGAAGGAUUUGGGAGCAAAGUGAGGAAUAAGAAUCGUUUAGUCCCAAAAGAAAUUGCAUUAGUUUUUCUCUUUCCAUGAGCCCACUCUGCUCCACAGUUGUAUUAUUGGAUGAAGAUUGAGGGGAAUUAGUGUGGAUUGAAGAAGCUGCAGCUUCAUCCCAUAAUGCCUUGAGGUUUUUAAAGUAAGAUUUAAUGGAUGUGUUUCCUUGACGAUGAGAUGCAAUCACCCCGUAAAUUUUAAAUAACAUUGUUGCAGCAUUGCUUUCAGAAUUAUGUUGUUGUUCAAUAAUUGUAUCUGAACUCACUGUUUUGUGUAUCGAUCUUGAUUGAUGGACGUUAUUCGCAACAUCGUUCACUACAGAACAUUUUCAAUAAAAUUGGUUAAGAAUUUAAUGUUUGCAUAUGAAAUAUGGAAUUCUUUUAAACAAAAUACUGCACAAAGAUAUAGCAGGUGUGUUAACACAUCUUUACCAUCACCACACAUAAUCCAGAUUCAAAAGAAAUUGCAUUGAUCAAAUCAAGAGUUAUAAAAAGGAUGACCAAGAUAGAAGCUUGAUAAACAAAUUUUGAGUAAGAAAUAUGAAAAUAAGAAAUUGUGUGAAUGAACAUCAUUUUCAAAAAUAAGACCAUACGCACAAAAUGGACACAAAACAAAUUUAAUUUUUCGUUUUUGAAAGGUUAUCUUUGUUUUCUUACAACGAUUUCUUUACCAGGAUUAAUAUAAUCCACACUAAGUUCUAAAACUAAAAAAGUUUAGCCGACGGCUAAACAUUGGUUCUACUCACAAUUAAGUAAAAAGAAAUUCAAGAACAUCACCCAACUUAGGAUUCCUCAAAGUCAAACACACUUUUAGAGUUCUUAGUCAUAAAAAAUGCAGCUUAUUAAUAUAACUAGCAGCUAUUAUAUUUUUUCUAAGGCUUUCUAAAUCUUAGUAUUCUUGUAAUCUCCAGUAUGAUUUAGAUGUGAUCUAAGUUAUUCAUGUAUUUAACUCUAAUUCAAGUGUUACAAUAACCACAUUAAAAAGUUCGACAAGAACCAGACAUAAAUAAUAUCAAAAACAUAAAACUAAAGAUGAAGAGCUUUGUUUGGUAACACUAUCUUCUGUUUUUUAAAGUUAGCUUUAAAAAAGGUGCAUUAUUUGGUAACUAAUUAACUUUUUGGUUUUUCUUAAACAAGAAGCUUCUUUCUAAAAUUAUGAAGAAAAAUUGAAAACAAACAAAAUUGCUUUCAAAUAUCUAUAUAUGCUUAUUGUUUUUAAUAAACAAAAAUUUAAAAACAGAAAAAAAGUUGAAAUAAUUACGAAGCUGUUAUAUGAAUAAGAGAUCUAAACUAAACUUUCUAACUUGGUGUGUUAACGUAGAUGUAUGAAUUUAAAAAAAAAAAAUGCUUGAAGUAAUAUAUGUAAAAGCUCACCGUCGUGAAUAGAAAGUUGUUGUAAUGGACUUUGAAGAAGAUGAUCACGAGUUUUGGCAGGGCUGGGAGAAUGAUUUGGAGAAUAAUCAGAAUUCUUUUUAUGACUCGAACCCGAACCAGAACCAUCCUUACGAGAGCCACUCCCACCUGCUUUGCCUUUCUUGGUUGAAGGCGAAGGUUGACUUGCUGAUUUAGUUGUGCGCCGAUUGGAUGUGGUACUGGGAAUUUCUGACUGAAUGGUUAAUUCAGGGGCAGAUGUGCUGCCAGGAAGAUGGGCGGGUGGCGUCUUUUUGGGUUUAGAUCUUCUCGGACUGAUAAUCCCUCUCGGUUCCAUUUUCGAUUUGCAACCUUAAGCUUUCUUUCUGAUGUGGUGUGAGAAACUAACUUUGGGGAUUUAAGAUGGGAAAUAAAAAAGGUAAUUUCUCAGAUCAAGCCAAUGCUUGUUGCGUUCAUGAUGAUAAAGACAAAAACAAUUAAUUAAUUAAAAACAAUAGUGAUAAAGGAAAUUUAGGGAAAGGAGAUAGUGGACCCCUGUGUGUUUGAAUGUGUCAUGUGGCAUGACAUUGGGUUUGAAGAAAAAUAAGAAAAAAGGAAAGAGACACCAAACAAAAGAAGAAGAAAGGUGUGGAUCAAUUUCCAGUCUUUUUAAAAGGAUUUGGGGGAAGUCCUUUACUUGGGUAAGUUGGGUUAUAUAUGUAAGGAUUUGGAUUGUUGAGUUCAUUCAUGAAUUUUACUAUAAACAUUUCUCUUUAGUUACUGUAAAAAAUUAAGAAACGUUAUUAUCAAUUUAAGUAAAUUUCUAUCAAAUAUAUGGUCCAUCAAAAGUCAAAUCUUCUCCUUUUUAUCAUUUUUCUUGUUAUGUAUCAUCCUAAUUGAGAUAUGUGGAUUGACCAGCUUUUGUUACACUAGAUUCCUGCUAGAAAAACAAAAUCAUUGAUAAAUAAAAUGGUAGAAGAUCAAAAGUGGGUCUUGCACAAGUUCUAAAUGACAAACAUCGCAACUUGAUCGUAACCAACAACCUCAGAAAAAACAAUAUUGGAUCCUCAAUGGGCUAAAUAGCUAAUGAUAACGGUACUUUAUUUACUUCAACUGUGAUAGAUUCAUUAUCGUGUUGGAACCAUGUAAUGAACAUUCACAAAUAAAUAAUCAACAAAAGAAUAUUGGAGAGAAGAAAACACUUGUUUGGAAGACUGUUCAAAUUGAACUCCCUCUUCUUCGUGUAUAUUCUUCUUCACACUUGGUUGCUUCAACGUUACAAAUACCAAACCUGUUGAUAGGAUUUUCUAAAUCUAUAACUUCACAUCAUAAUUAAAUACCUGUCAAAAUUAAAUUCCAAUAUAUAUAUUGUUAAUUCAACAGUGUAUAUAACUCUUACCAACUCUUAUCAAUAUAUUUAAUAUAUAACUUUCAAAUGUCUUAAUUUUGUGUGUAAUUCAAUUCCAAUUAAAAUAUGCUUUAACAUUCAACAGUUAUGGCAUGUCCAUAAACAUCUUAGAAAAACAAUGAAGAUAGAGAAAUUCGCAUUAUGUGUGUGGUCACUGCUGCAAUGAUCAAUGGAAUCUUCACUUUUUGUUUUAUGAGAUGCAAUAAAGAAGGGUCGUACUGAAAGCCUUGCAUCAGUGCGAAGCUUGGUAUUUUUCCAUCAUAUGCAAAGGCUUGGCAUGAGUCCUUUAGUUUGUUUUGAGAAGGUUAGUUAGUAAGUGCAACUGAGUGGGCACAAUAUGAGUUAUUUAAUUAGAGUUAAUUUUAUAUUAGGAAGACUUGUAUAAAGAUUAACUUUGUCAUUUAGUUAUUUAGAUUUUUUAUUUUUAAAAAAGGAUACUCAGCAUCGUCAAUGAUUAUAUUCAAAAUAGAGCUUGGAGGAGAUUGAUUAAGUUUACGAGAAGGCUAGAGAUAAGCCAAAACUAUAAACCAUACAAAAACUAUCAAACAACUAAACUAGCAAAAAACACUGAGGUGUUGUGCAACUAUAGAAGCUGAGUAAUUAUUGAAAAGCUUGGUUUUUGUAGACUAUUGGGCUGUGAGAUUGCAGAUGUUUUUCCAAAGGUAGGUAUAUGAGUGUGAUAAGUUGUUGAAUAGUUUGGUGUUUCUUUCCAACCAAAUGGACCAAAUGAUGGCAAUCAGUAGAUUGAAGAUAAUCACCCCUCUUUGUGUCUUUAUGUUGUUUGAGCAGAUCGAAUUUAUAAGCACGGGGAGGUUAUCAUCAAUGAGAUCAUAAUUUAAUUGAUUUUUGGUCGUGUUCCAAAUGUUUCUGCUGUAUGGACAGAGGAGGAAUAUGUGGUCGGUUGUUUCAUUGCUUUUCUUACAAAGUACGCACUAGUUUGGGUUGAGACAAAGAUUUUCCAGUCUCCUUUGAAUCUUUUCCAUCGUGAAAAUUUCAUUGUAUGUGGCUGUCCAGAUGAAGAAUUUGCAUUUCUUUGGAACUUUGAACUUCCAUAAUUUCUUGAGAAGAGCUGCAAAGUUUGAAUUUCUAGCAUUUUGAGCAUUUGUUUGUAACAGAGACUUAACAGAGAAGGAGUCAUCGUUGCUUGGAAUCCAGAUCAGUGGAUCUUUUUGGAUGUUGUCUGUGAGAGGAGGUAGGCUGCUCUGUAUAGUUCUCCACUGUAAGGCUUCUCUAUCUCUAAGAGGUCUUCUGCUAUGUAUAUCCCAUGUUUUAUUGUUGACAUUCUACAUCUCUCUAACAUAACUAUUUUGCUUUGAGGAGAAAGCAUAUAGUCUUGGGAAUGAUUUGCUUAGUACACCCUUCGUGCUCCAAUUGCUAUGCCAGAAGGAUAAAGAGUUGUCAUUAUUAACUUUCCACUUCAUCCUUGAGUUGAGCCAAUCAACGAAUUUGCAGAUGAAUCUCCAUGGAGCAUUCGAGCUACUGUAUUUAGCAAUUGUAGGAAACAUAUCCAUAUUCCUACAAUAGUAUUUAAUAAAAUAGACGAUUGGCAGCCCAUAUUGUUGUGUCCCCUACUAAUUAAUAUGAUCUAAUAUUAACUAAUUUUUCUUCUUUAUUUUUGAAGUUGUAAAUAAGUGUCUUCUUUGUCUGCAAAGUCAAUCCCACCCCGAUGAGAGUAUAUCGAAAACAUAUCCCGUCUUAUUGCACAAUUUGACUUUUUGUAAGAGAAACAUAAAUGGGUUGAUAGUUGUAUACAUCUCAACUAGGUUGGCACUCUUUUAACACACAAUUUAACAUUUAAACACAUGCAUACAUUGUAUCAAACUAUAAAUAACAAGUAAAAGAAACAGACGGUCUUUUGACACAAACUAAUAUCAUAUAUCACAAAUAAACACUAGGGGUGAAAUCGGGUUGGGUUGGGAGACAUUCUCAACCCAACCCAUAUUUUCGGGUUGUUUGGGAUGACAACCUGAAUUUAGUUUUUAACCCAACCCAAUCUGUAAAAUAUGGGUUGGGUUGUCGGAUUGUAAAUAUAAAUAUUGUUUUAAAUUUUUUUUUUCGUUUUCUAGUUUCUAAUGGUUAUAAAAGUUUGAAAUUGUUACAUUUAAAUUUCAAACAUACAUACAAUAAAUUCAAAAUUUAUAUACCUCUAAUUUGUUUUUUAUUAAAAUAAUAUAUACUUCUAAUUUAUUUAUUUGUAUAUUAUAUUAAUUUAGAUUGUGUUAGGUUGAACCGAAUUUUUCAACCCUCCAACCCGAGACCCAACCCAACUCGAAAAACUAAAAAAAGUUUAACCCAACCCAACCCAUAUUUUAACCUAACUCAACCCAUAUUUUAACCUAACCCUUAUAAUAUGGGUUGGGUAGUCUGGGUUAUUCGAGUUCAACUCAUAUUUGUACACCCCUAAUAAACACUAAUAAACACUAAUAAACUUUGAUAGUAGUCUAUCAAUGUCUAUAGCUGAUAAAAAGUGACAUUUUGUUAUAUUUAUAAAUAUUUUAAGAUCAAGUUUUGACAUUUAAAACAAUAGAUUCUUUUUUCUUUUGAAAAGGAGACAAAGUGGUCGGUAGUACUUUCAAUGAUCCCAAGAACGGAUAUCUACGAUAACAAGACACUAAUUUUAUUAAUGGACAAUAAACGUAGUUACAAAGAGACGGGCUUAGAUGAGAAGAGCUUUUAAAGUUUAGAGCAAUAGUACAUGUCCUGUAAUCCUUGAAAAGAGGGUGUGUACUACACCACAUUUAAAACAAUAGGUUAUGUUAGCUUCUUAUUGUAUUUGGAUAUGAUGAGCCUUCCCUGAAUUUGAUCCGAACUUCCACACGAACUAGCUGUUAGUUUGUAACUAAGUUAAAUAUUGUGGGCGAAAAAAUCCAUUUAAAGGACGGUUAAUUAGAGAUUAACCAUUUAUAUCCAGAUUCAUAGUGGUAAACGCUAUUUUAUUGAAAUUGUUUACUUGAAAAAUAAUUUCAACAAAUAAUUAAACAGAGAAACAAUUCCUUAGGCGAAUACACUUCUACUCGUUUUUGCACAAUCAAAUAAUGUAGAAUUUUGUAAGGAUGAGAAAUGUAAAUAGCAGGUGAGGACGUAACCCUUAGAGAGCAACUAGGUGUAACACACAAUUUAUCACUCAUCAUAAAGCUACUCCACCUAUAUGAAUAAUAAUAACAACAAUAAUUUUAUUUCAAUUUCAACGAAAGGAAAAGACUAAAGAUCAGAGCACCAGAUGUGGUUCCAAUCAAACAUUACAUUAUUAAAGUUAAAAAAAAAAAGGAAAAAAACUGGAGAUAAUUAGAGUAUUAUAUUGGAGAGAGUGGAGAGUUUUUAGGAGGAUUGUCGUUAAUAAUUACUUGAUGGUUUCUUACUUUUUUAAUCUUAUUUUUUCUCUUCAUUACCAUCAGCAGUUGUACCAUUAGAAGUAGUAGAACUGAAGUUAAUAGAAACUUCACUUCCCUGGUGACGUGAACUGAAGUUAUUUUUUCAGUUGUACCAUCAGCAGUGUGCGCAAACACCAACGAAGCCAACAAUAGAUCACUCACCAAACCCUUUUUCCUCUCCACGCCUUUCAGCUUCUUAACCACUUCCUCCACUUUCACUAUCAAAUCAACCAAUCGAAAGCCACCCGAGCUCGAACCCUCCUCUGAGUUGUUGGUUCAUGACCGUUUGGUUUUCGGCUCCUCUUGGGUGGUGUCGUCGAGGCUAGUUGACCUCUUCUUGCCACGGGCUUCAGUAUCCUUAGAAGUUGGCGGUUUAGAGAUGGAAUUGAGGUUAUUUUUGGAAAUGAGUUCUCCGUUGAAAAGUGAUAAUGUGGGGUUGGGUAAGCUUAAUUUGUUUAAUGUGGACAAAAGCUCGUUAGUCCAAGCCUCCAGCUGAUUGCAAGCAGAAAAAAACCAAGCCAAUAAAGAACCACUGAUCACCAAAUCAGCAGUUUUUCCGCUAACGCUUUUCAGCUUCUUAACCGUUUCCUCCAAUUUCACUAUCAGAACAUCCACUGACACGCUUUUGGAUCCCCAGCCCUCCAUAGUAUUGUGUAGUGCCUUAUCAUGCAUCAAACUUCUAAUUACAUCCAAACCAAUUUGACUUGAGGAAUUAAAGUAGUUCUUCUAAGAACAUAAACAUUUUUUUUUUUUUGAAAAUAUACCCCAAGGGUCAGUAGAUGUAAAUGGACCAAAGCAUCACCACCACUAGGUGAGCAUAUCCUAAUAACACCUUCUAUCAUCGUCACUUUAUUGAUAUUCAAUAAGUUUGGAAGUACAUGUGAUAAUGGAUGGAAAAAGCAGUAGACAUGCAUGUGCAGCGAAAUUAGAAUUUAAUUUACUCUAAUUGCAUGUAACAUUUAGAAAUUAAUAUUCAAUUCCCUAAUUAAAUGAAAUUAUGGUUUGGUGAUCAUAUACCUUUAUACCUCCCAAAAUUCCCUAAUCUCCACACGAAAACUCAUACCCAAACCACCACGAAAGUUGACUCGUUAGCUAUUCUCCAAACUUAAAACUGGUCGAUUAUGAAACCCGAUCGAUAAAGGAUUUGAAAGAGAGAUGGAAUUUGAAGCGAUAUAUAUUAGGAUUCAACGAGCUAUAUAUAUAUUAGGAUUCAUACUGGGAAUGGAGCAAAUACUAUUAUUAUUAUUAUUUAUUACUAUUGUAACCUAAGUAGAUGCCAAAAGAGAUCAGUAGCAGCUGAAAGCAACUUUUCUUUGACUUUCAAAUGGCUAAUGUCGAUUGGCCACAAUUGUGGAGUGUAGAAUGUAUUAAAAUUUUAGACAGUGAGAAAAGCAAAGACUUAUUUUGAAAAUACACAUGAACAAAUAUGACCUUUAACGUUGAAAAAAUGACAACACAACUUUAAUGUCGCCUUUUACAAUAUGAAUGUUUAAUGUCAAAUUUAAAUCGACAAUAAAGAGAAAGCUUUAAUGUCAAUUUAAAACUGACGUUUUAAGUAUGGUUAAAUUUUUGUAAAAAAGUACCUUCUCUCGCUUACUUUACUCUUUUCUUUCUCAUGAUGCCAACAAAUUUUUAACUAGUUGUUGGCAUGAGAAAAAAUAUUUAUCAAUUUCUUUACUUUAAAUAAAAUUAUGCCAACAAAUAAAUAAAAUUAUUACUCUUUACUUUACUCUUUUAUCAAUUUCUUUCCUCUCUUCUCAAUCUCACUUUCAACCCUCUCAUCUCCGUCGAACAGGCCACUGCACUCACAGUUGUCAUCGUUCUCCCUCGUGCCCAGCCACUGCCACGUCUGCACUGUUGUGCUCGGGUGUUCGUCAUCCUCGUUUUUCACAUUCGUGUGUCCGUCCCAAGCCCUUGCAUUAUAUAGUGUACGAAGGAAGCUACAUUACGUUAGAGAGCGGUAUUACAACGUCAAAUGUUUAAGAUUUAUGACCGUGAGCAUAGGAAAGGUUAGCUCUAAUACAUUAACUAUUUAAUGCAUUGAAGUUGCUAAGAAGUCACUUUUUUUUUUUUCAAAGUUGCCUUAUUAAAAUUCUGAAAAGUAAAUGGUUGAUUUAGAUAUUAUUGGUAGAAUGAUUAAAGUCAAAUUGGGUUGAAAGCAAAGCGAUUAGGUAGAAGGCUAAGCGAUCGUUAUAUGUUGAAGACUGUGAAGCCAUUUAAAAUUUCUUAUUUAUGUCUUGUAUUAGGAUCUUACUCUUGUAAAAUGUAGGUUGUAGGUUGUAGGUUGAUUGUUGUAGGUUGUAGGCUGUAUCUCUUUCAGUUGUAGAAUGUAUAUAUAAAUACAAUAUUAAAAUUUAAUUUUGUAUAUACAAUGUAAAAGAGAAAUAUUAUAGUUUACAAAAGAAUAAUAAUUUUAUUUAUUUGUUGGCAUGAGAAAAAAUAUUUAUCUACAUGAAUUCAUAAUAUCAAUUUUUAACUAGUUGACAUCAUUAAAAAAAGGACAAUAACGCAACAAUUUAUUAAAAAUAAAAUUGUAAAAACGGACCCAAAAACAAGGCUUUAAUGUCACUUUUAAACUGACAUUAUUGAGGAUUUUUAAUGUCAGUUUUAAAACUACAUCAAACCCAACCGACACUAAAUGCCUUUAUUUUGAUCAUCAUGACCUUGUGCAUCAUUGAAUGAAAUUUUGAUGGAAGAUAAUAAGGGUGCUAAAAGGGUGGCCAUCUAGUAGGGAUGCUUGGGUGCACCUACUGAUCCAAGUCGUAUCCUAAUUAAAAAAAACACUAUCAAAGAUGUCAGAUUAAACCGACAUUAAAAGAAUUUUAUAAUACAACCAAUCAACAUUAAAGAUCUUUAAUGUUGGUUAAACCAUCAUUAAAGUCCAAUUUUUUACUACUGAUAUCAUAAUCAUCAAUAAAAUGGUUUUCAUAAUAUAUACUUUUUCUGCUAAAAUAAUAAUAAUAAUUUUAUUUGAACAAAAGGAAAAGUGUUAAGACAGCACGAGAUGUGGAUCUAAUAAAACAUAACAUUAUUACAAAAAAGAAGAAAGAAAAGUAAAAUAGUAACAAUAAUAUUCUGAUAAUUAGAGAAUUGGAGAGUUUCUUGUUGGAGGAUUAAGGUUGACUACUUGGCGGACUGUUUAUACUUUUUUAAUUUUCUUCGUCUCUCCACUUCCACCAGCAGCAGUAGUAGUAGAACCAUAAUUAAUAGAGAGAUCACUGUGCUGGUGAACUAGCGGCUUUGCUUUUCUAGUAGAUCUAGAAAUAAGCUCAGCAGUGCAAGCCGUAAGCAGAGCCUGGGCAGACACAAAGCAAGCCAACAAAGGAUCACUCACCAAUUUAUCCUUUUUCCGGCCCACCCUUUUCAGCAUCUUAACCAUGUCUUCAACUUUCUCUAUCAGAUCUUUCAUUGGCACGUCCGAGCUUGAACCCUCCUCUGCGUUAUCGGUUUUUCGCUUUUGAGUUGGGGGACGAUCAUGUUGGAAGUCGUCGUUGGGGCUAACAGGCGCCGGCCUCUUCUUACCAUGAACUGGAUCCGGUGUCUGUGGCUCAACGGACGACCUUCCAGGGAAUUUGGGUGUGUUUUUUUUACUGGGUGAUGAGGGGGGAUUAAAGAUCCCAUGAGCAAGGUUUAACUCACCCCCCAUGGUGUUGUGUUGUGUUUGUAGGCCUAAUAAUCAACUUUUCAAAGCUCACAUAUAUAGAUAGAAAGUUAAAACAAUACCACCACCACCUUACAAUGUGUACUGAUCUAGAUCUACAAUAAUGGUCAACAUCCCUUCUAGUCAACUAUCAAACGUAGUCAUUUUCCCGAUUUUUUAUUGCACACUCACCAAAAUAAGUAUAUUUUCCACUUGGUACAACAACCAUAGGAAAGAAAGAUUCAAAUCGCAAACCUGUUAGUUAUAAACCUCUUACCUCUUAGUUAUAAAUACUGUCUGAUAUACUUUGUUGGUCAUUAUAACUCAUAUUGAUUCAAUUACAGUAAAAUUAUUUGAAAGCAUCGAUUGUCAUUUAUUUCUUCUUAUUUUUAACUCCUAUCCAAAUACAAACUAUCACAAUCAUUUAUUAUAUAAUAAGAAACUCUCUUUCUUUUUUCUAAAGAAAAAAAAACAAACAAACAACUUAAUUAUACUAUUAUGAUAUAUUUGAGAUUUCACUAACAUAAUAUGCUUACUUUAAUAUUUGUGUUAAUUAAUUAACUAAAAAAUUGGAGACUUUUUAUUAUUUAUUUUUAAUAAGCUACAAUUUGAGUUUGCAAGUGCAGUUGAACAUCCCACUUAGAAAAUCUUUAUGAAUAAAAAAAGAAACUCUUAAGUUUUUUUUUGCUAUAUUUUUGUAAAGAGGGAAUAUUUUGCUAUUUUUUUGAAAAUGUCCAAAAAAAUUUUUAAAUAAAUGAAUUUUAAUCAUAGUUAAAUAAUUAUGUUAAAGUUAACAUCAACUAAAAGCAAACAUUAGUUGCUGCUCUUUUUUUUAGUACAAAGGAAAACAUUGGUUGAAACAGUUUUAGUUUUAUCGAGAGAAUCCUAGAGAGAGAAAUGACGGUGGAAAUGAAAUGCUUUCUACAGUAUUCUCCAUCCCAACCAGUGACAUCUGAAGCUUUCCCAUUAGAACAAAAAUGACGACGGGGUUCAUUUACUUGCACCUUUAACUAACAAGCAAACGUUUGGAAGUGAGUCGUAUACCUAUAAAAAUGAGUGUAAUUCCUAAUACAGUUUAAAAUAUUAAGGAACAACUUCUCGGUGGCAAUAUGAGUUCUAUUUUGUGUUUUUAGAUUAAUUGAGUUCAUCAAAUUUGGAUUUGAUACAUAUAUAUAUAUAUAUAUAUAAACCUUUUUUUUAAUUCUCUAAUAUAAGGGUGUGCAAAUUCUUAAAAUAAAAUUGUUAUUACUAAUUGAUAAAUGUUUGAAAGUCUUUGAAAUUUAAUGAUGAAAUUCAAGGAGCAAUAUAUAUUAGGAUUAUUCAAAUUGAGAAUGGAGCAAAGACUAUUAUUAUUAUCAUUAUCAUUAUUUAUUAUUUGUUACUAUACUAUAACAUAAGUAGAUGCCAAAAGAGUUGGUAUCCGCUGAAAGCAACUUUUCUUUGACUUUGUUCAAAUGGCUAAUGUGAAUUGGUCACAAUUGUGGAGUGUAGAAUGCAUUAAAAAUUUAGACAGUGAAUGAAGCAAAGACUAAUUUUUGAAAUAUCGUAAUUGUCAAUAAAGGGUUUUCAUAAUAUAUACCUUUUCUCUAAAAAAAACAAAAUUAUGCCAAAUUCGAACAACUACUUCUUACUUCAACUUUCAAAUGAUUUGUUUAUAGUAAUUAAGAAUUUUCAAAUAUUAAAAAAUAAACUAAAAUAUUUAUAAAAUUUUAAACUCUAUCAACAUAUAUAUAUAUGUCUCUUAGGCACAUCCAUAGAUAACAAGUAUUAGACAGUCUAAAAUUGUGUUAUAUUUUAUCAAUAUCUUUUAGUUAUUUGUCAUUUGGAAUAAUUUCUCUUAUAGUAUUCUCUAAUAUUUAUUUUUAUUAAAUCUAACAUAAAUACAAACGCUUUGAAUUUCAUAUAAAAGUGAACUAAACAAAUGUGUGUAUAAAAAUACUUUUUGGAAAACUAUUCAAAUACUACCUAAAGUUUGUUUUAGUCCUUGAUGAUAAUAUUUAGCGUGAACCAUCCUCUUGGAAGGUUACCAAGAUAUAAUUUGAUUGAACCAUUCAACUUUAGAGUUGAUGCGUGAAAAUGCAUCUUACUAUUUCAGUGAGGAUUGAGGAAUAGGAGUAAAAUAAUAAUAUUUGAACUUUUCCACUGCAAAUUUAUAAGAAAAACAAUAUUAAUAAGAGAAAAAUCUUUUGUUAAGAAUUUUUGUUUUCACCUAUGCGAUAAGGUUAGGAUUUGCAUGUAGGAGUACUGCAUCAAAUCUGGAGCUAAGGGUGUGUGUUCUUGGUUUUUGGACUUUUUCACUUCCUAUUAAAAAAGUUUCCCUAAAAUUAAAAGCUACAACUACUCCCUAAUAAAUUAUUUCUGAUGUGGUCAGCAUGCUUGCGUUAUCAAAGAAUUGGAGAAUAACGUCAGCCAUUUUCCCAUGUGCAAAGUUUCGUUUCAUAUGUUUAUAUAUAUAUAUAUAUAUAUAUAUAUAUAUGUUUGACUAUGAUAGUGAAAUUUUUUGUGGUAGUGAUGAUCAUCUUAUUAGAGCUACAAUAAUUAUUGAGUACGUUAUAAAGUGUGGUGGUGAAUAGAUUUCAUAUAUUUGUAGCAAAUAGAUCAUUAAUCAUAAAGGAUACUGUAGAUUGACUAGAGAAAUAAAAUACAUUUUGAUUGAGUGGUUGCCAAAACUCAUCAAAUAUUUUCAAAGUAACUUACUUUUUUAUCAAUUUAUUUUAGAGAAGAAACUAGGAUUGUAGAAUGAGGGUUAAUAUCUAUUAAUAUCUAUUAACAAAGAGUUAAGUUACAAGGUUGAAAGGCUAGAAGGAAGCCUUAAAUAACAUAAUCUAACAACGCUCUAGUGUUAAGAGAAACGACGCAAAGACCAAACUCCGAUCAAGUUACCAAUGUCUUUUCACAAGUUAAAAAUAGUUUUUGAUCCAUUAAAAGAAUUCUACUUUUUUUUUCAACUAUAUAGUCCAAACUAAGCCAACUAUCGCAUUGAAUUUUAUGACAAGUUGAACCAAUUGAUGUACCCUAAAAUAUAUUUUUAAAAUAUACUAGGGACAACCUCUCUAUUAAUUAAUUUACUGCUAUUAUUAUUAUAAAGCUACUUCCUUGGCUUUCCUAUGUCUAAUGUUGACUUAAGAAAUAGGUGUUUACUAAUCCAUGGAGAUUCAUCAAUCUCGAAACGUUUAUUAUUCAGAAAUAAAAUAUUUGUCACGGUAUCUAAAUUUUCUUAUAGAAAUUUGUUUUAUAAAAAAUUGCUAGCAGUAGUUCAAUGACCACUUCAAUCAGUUUGAGUUCAUUAAAAUAAAAAAACAAAAAACAAAAGAAAACUUUGUUUUUUCUUCUGUAAUUGUAAGGUACGUUAAGAUUCUCCAAGUUCCCCUGCACCCUUAUUUCUUGAGUAUCAAACUCCUAAUACUAUAUAUAUAUAUAUAUAUAUAUAUAUAUUAUAUAUAUAUAUAUAUAUAUAUAUAUAUAUUAGUUUACCUAAUCGACAGGCUGAAAAAGAUUAGAAAUUUAUCUCAAAAUGUACCAAGUAUUACUCAUAAGUUACUUUCACUUUUCAGCUAGUGUCAUCAAAGAAAUGGUGAAUGACGUUAUCCAAUUUACAUGAAUAAAUAAUGCUUUCAUGCAUAAAAUUAUUGGUACAUACAUUUCUGUAUGGCUCGCUUUUUUUUCUUUGGAGAAAACACUUGCCGUUCAAUUUAUUAUUAGUACUGUUGAGAUCAGUUUAUUUAGUGAUCAAAGUCGAUCUCUCAUUUGUAGUACUUUUGUAGAACUAGAAAGGCUAUCUAUCUAUCUCCAUUUCAAAGCAAAGAUAAUGCCAUUGACUCACAAGCCACCUUCGUCUUCUUCUUCACCCAAUAAGCCAACCCUUGACCCUCACGACCCCAAGGCUGUUCGAUGGUCAGAGUCGGUUACCGGCGGUGAUUCUGAUAGCAGAAAGAAGCAGCAUGGGAUCCACGAUGACGAUGAGUUUGAAGAAGGUGAGACACCCGAGCAAGGGGAUGAGGAAAAUCAGCACCAACUUGUUAUUGGAAGUAGAACGCCAGAACCACCCAAGAAUGAUAUGAGUUGGGCUAGGUUCCAAACUUCGCAGUUUUAACUUUUCUUGUAAGUUUUUCUUUUCAUAUUUAGUUCUUCUUUUUUUCUUUUUUCUUUUUUUUUGUGGAGUACUCUACAUGCUUUUGCAAAUUGGUUUCUAUAAUUCAGGUAGAUUUAGAAAACUAUUUUAUUUUGCCUAACCAACAUAUUGUGUCACAAAAACAUAGUAGCUCUUCUGAUCUAUUAUUUUUCCAAAAAAAGAAAUAAAAUCUACAUGUUCUACCAUCGGAAAGAUAUUUGAAGAAUCUACAUAAGUCUUUAGAUCUACAAAUUUGACAUUGUUAAAAUAUUUUCAGAUAUUGUUUUUAUGAUAGUUACAAACCAUAGAAACUAUAACCUUACCCAACCAUAAAAGUAGACCACUUCACGUUACAACUUCGGCUUUAAAUGUCUGUUUUCGAAUUGACAUCAGAUACUUAUAAUGAGGAAUUACACACUGCAUGGUAUGAUGUGUCAUCGUAGGUACAAUGUUGGAUGAUCUAUGAUGACGGUCACGUUAAACUUCCCUCAAAACUUCUGACAUCAUAUUGAUAUAUGAGAUAGUUGUUUAUGAUGAUGGUUUCGAACUGACAUCAUAUCCCAUGUCAUCAUAAGCCUAUACGGUGACGAGUUUGUCUUCAUGCCAUCAAAAUUGUUGUAGUUUUAUUUCUGUCACAUGGUGAUAAACUCCAAUGAAAUUUUUGGUGCAACUUUCACAUACUUUGACUCAAACAAAAAUGUUAUUUGCAUAUAGAUAUAAAUUUGAACACGUACCUUUUACACUUCACGCUUUUCUCAAUUACUAGCUAUUAGUGUUGAAUUGAAGUGUUGAGUCCUCAAGUGAAACACACCCUUCCAACUGCGAUCCGCCAAAUCUUCUUCAGCAUAUAAUAAUUUAAUGAUAAUAAUAAAUAAGAUAACAAGUUGUUUGUUUAUUAGGGAGAUCAAUAAGAGUGGACGACAAUCGUUCACUACGUGCUAAGAUGCAUCAAGCUGCACUAAAAGGAGACUGGGAAGGUGCAAAGCAAAUGGAAAUGAUGCAUCCAGGAGCCUUAACAAUGGUGAUAAGUGAAAGAUCUGAAACUGCUCUUCACAUAGCGACGAGAGUGAAGAGGGCCAGUUUCGUCGAGAAGUUGGUGGAACGGUUGGACGAGCAUGAGUUGGCGUCGAAAAAUAAAUAUGGAAACACAGCCCUUUGCAUUGCGGCUGCAUCAGGGGCUGUGGCUAUUGCCAAGUUGCUGGUUAUUAAAUAUAAAGCUUUGCCACUUAUUCGUGGCUCAGGAAAUGCAACUCCUGUUUUGAUUGCAGCAAGAUAUAAGCAUAAGGAUAUGGUUUCUUAUCUUCUCUCCCAAACGCCCGUCUAUGGGUUGGCUAGGGAAGAGCAAAUGGAGCUGCUUCUUGGUGCUAUUUCAGCUGAUUAUUAUGGUAAUUCCAAAUUCUCUUCCUUCAUUAUCACUACUUUUUUAUCCGUCAAUGCUAAUUAAAUACAUAUAGGAUUGUAACUAAAUGUUGCUCUUUUAUAUGAUUUGGUUGAAUGAAAAAUUAUAAAAUAGAUAUAUUUUUAGCUGGGCAAAGAUUAGACGCAACAUAGGGCCAUCACUCAAGUUUUGUUUUUAUUUUCAAAUAUAAUAAAGAGGUAUUUUUAAAUAUAACAAAAUUUUAAAUUGAUAAAUUUAUAUCAAUGUCUAUCUAUUGGUGAUAGAAUUUGAAAGUUUGCUACAUUUUUAAAAAUAUUUUUAGCAGUUUUGUCUUUUUUAUAAUAAUUUUUCUAUAAUAAAGUUAGUUUCCUCUUAAUACAGUGCAACCAAACAAAAUUGACUUUACAAGUAGAUGCACGACGAUGUAACAAUUUAGGGACGUUUUCCUUUGGAAUGCAUAUAGUUGAAGUUUUUGGAUGUUGAUUGCUAGAAUUUUCAAUGACAAACAAAAAAGCCUUAUCAACAUAUGGGAAGACUGUUGUAAUUUCAUUGACACGUGGAGUGGCAAGCAUAAAAUGUUUAAAUAUUAUAAUGUCAGCACCAUAUGUUGGUUUUACAACAAAGGAUCUGUAAAAUCUCACGCACUCUUCUUGAAGAAAACAAAGAUAAAUACUUUGUAAAAUGUAUUGCCAAGAGGGAGAGAAAAUUAAAUGGAACUUUUUUCCUUUAUUCAAUUUGAUGGACUAAUAUUUAUAGUCUAAAAGGAAGCAAAAAUUAGUAACCCACUAACUUAGUGCUUGCUAAAACUUUGGAGAUAAUUAAGACAAUAAAUAACCAAAACAAUAAAUAGAAAAAUAACUUAAUUCUUCCACCUAUUUAGGAAGAUCGUGACAAAUUAAUAGCCCACACUUCCCCCUAAUUCUGACAUGAUUCUAAGUUACGAACACCGAGUAGUUGACGCAUAGAAGCUUAACUUUACUCCCGUCAAUGCUUUAGUCAUAACAUCGGCUCGUUGUUCUCCAGUGUUGACAAAUUCAACAAUAAUUUUUCUAUUCUCGACACACUCUCGAAUGAAAUGAAAACGUGUAUCUAUGUGCUUGCUGCGACCAUGAAAAACGGGAUUCUUCAUGAGAGCUAUCGCGGAUUUGUUGUCCACAAAUAAUGUUACCGGCCUUGGCUCCAUUCCGACUAUCUCGCUAACAAGGCAUCUUAACCACAAUGCUUGGCAAGCUGCGGUAGUAGCUGCAAUGAACUCGACUUUGCAAGAUGAGAGUGCCACCGUCUUUUGCUUUUGCGAAUUCCAUGAAACCAAGCUUUCGUUUAAGUAGAAUGUCAUUCCACUUGUGCUUUUCCUCCCGUCGAGAUCACCGGCUAAAUCACUGUCAGAGUAACCGAAUAUAUUGAAUUCUCUGAGACCUUUCGUAUAAGUGAGCCCAAAAUGAAUUGUCCCUCUCAAAUACCUAAGUAUUUGCUUGACCACCUUGUAAUGCAUGGUUGUAGACCUUUCCAUAUACCUACUCGCCAUCCCAACAGCAUAUGAAAGAUCUGGCCUUGUGUUUAGUAAGUAUCUAAGACAACCAACGAUGCUUCUGUACUCUGUAGCAUCAAUUGGUGCUCCUUCUAUGUCUUUGUGAAGUUGUGCCUUGGGUUCCAUCGGGUAUUUUGUGGCAUUGCAAUCAGCCAUUCCAAACUAGGACAAAAUUCUUUUGGCAUAAGUUGGUUGUUUGAGCAGGAUUCGACCCUUCUGUUGUUCAACUUCAAUUCCUAAGUAGUAAGAGAGAAGGCCUAAAUCGCUCAUUUCAAAUUCUGCCAUCAUUUGUUGCUUGAACUUAUUGACCUUUUCAGUGCUACUUCCUGUUAUAAUGAGAUCGUCAACAUACACUCCAACAAGAACACAUUCCUCUUCUUCUCUUCUUCUGUAGACUGCUUGCUCUUGAGUGCAUUUUCUAAAACCAAGAUCUUUGAGACUCCUAUCAAGUCGAAUGUUCCAAGCUCGUGGAGCUUGCCUCAAUCCGUAGAGAGCCUUUGACAAUCUAUACACCUUGUGUUUUUCAUUUGGAACCUCAAAACCCUCCAGUUGAGUAACAUAUACUCCCUCUUCCAAUUCUCCAUUGAGAAAUGCCGACUUCACAUCUAGAUGGUGUACCUCCCGACUUUGGUUUGCAGCGAGUGCAAGAAUGACUCGAAUGGUGUCAAGUCUUGCAACCGGUGCAAAAACUUCUUCAAAGUCAAUGCCUUGUCUUUGUACAUAGCCUUUAGCAACCAAUCUUGCUUUGUGCUUGACAACUUUUUCAUUGGGGUCUUUCUUCAAUUUGAACACUCAUUUUAGACCAAUGGGUUUGUGUCCUAGUGGAAGCUCGAUCAGACUCCAUGUGUUGUUUUUCUCAAUGGAUUUUAAUUCGUUCUCCAUUGCUUCGUAUCAGAGGCCCUCUGUAACAGCUUCUUGGGUAACAAGUCGGUUCUUCGAACACUACCAUCAUCACCUCAUUCUCUUGUUCAUCACCACCUACAACUUCCUCUGUGUUGGCGUCGAUGUCACUGAGAGAUCUUAGACGGACCGUGUGUUCGUCGAUGGAGGAGAUGGACUGGUCUCUCCAAUCGCAGGUAUCUCAGUUGCAUGUGGUAAGGCAUUUUCAACCCCAGUUUCUGCAUCCUCCAAGUUUUCGAACUCGUCAGAAUAAAAUUGGUCCAUCACCUGAAACUCUGUAAUCUCCUUACCGUCACUAACAACUUCGUUCCAAGCCCAUUCAAGAUUCUCUUGAAAAAGAACAUCUCUACUAAUUUGUAGUUUUCCACGGCCUGGGUCAUAUAAGCGAUGGGCUUUGCAUCAUUCUUCGACACCAAAAUAUACCAUUGGUGAGCUUCGAUCGUCGAGAUUCUUGAGGAGAGGGGUUGUGUUGUUUACAUAUGCCACACAACCAAAGACUCUCAAGUGUGCAAGAUGUGGCUUUUCUCCCCAUCCAAGCUUCAAAUGGUGUGCAUUCUCCAAGGGCCUUCGUUGGAAGACGGUUUAACAAAUAAACUGCGUGUCUCACUGCCUCUCUCCAAAAUUUUGCAGGCACAUGCAUGCUUUUGAGGAGUGAUCUCGUCAUCGCCAUUACGGUGCGGUUACAACGCUCUACAGUGUCAUUUUGUUGUGGUGAAUAUGGAGUAGUGAGGUGUCGUUCGAUUCCUUCUUUUUUGCAAAAUUGAGUGAACUCUGCAGAUAAGAACUCACCACCUCGAUCCGUCCGAAGUGUUCUGAUCUUGUACUCCGUCUUGUUCUCCAUUAAGAGUUUGAAUUUCUUGAAUGCUUCAAAUGCGUCACUUUUUGCCUCCAACAUAUACAGCCACAUCCAUCUCGUGGAAUCGUCAACGAUUAACAAAAAAUACUUGUUUCCAGCAAGAGUACAUGGUGAAAUCGGUCUGCAUAUAUCAGCAUGGAGGAGUUCUAACGGCUUCUCUGCUCUAUAUGUUGAUUGACGGGGGAAGGGCAAUCUGGCUUGUUUGGUAAUCACGCACGCUUCACAUAACUUGUUCGGUUGAGUCACUAGUGGUACUCCAACUACCAAUUUCUUCUCUCCCAUGAGCUUCAAGUCAUGAAAAUUUACAUGGCCAAGUCUCACGUGCCAUAACCAUGUUGGAUCUUCUAGGCUUGUCAGAAGGCAGACUUGCUUGAGUGUCUUCAAAGUUAUCUUGUACAAACGAUUUUGAGUUCGCUUCACCGACAUCAAAAGCUUCCCACUCCUAUCAGACACUUUCAUGAUAUCUUCUAUCAUUUGCACCUUGUUUCCGUUUUCUGUCAUUUGUCCGAGGCUUAUGAUGUUACUACAUAAUUUUGGAAUGUAAUACACCUCUUGGAGAGCCUUCUGAUCACCGUUCUUGCACUCGAACAUGACUGUUCCUUUUCCCAUGAUCUGAAUGGUUGAUCCAUCGCCAAACUUCACCCUCCCAGUGAAGCUUUCAUCUAAUUCUUGGAACUUCUCACGAUGGCCAGUCAUGUGGUUACUAGCACCGUUGUCAAGAUACCAAACAUCAUUAUUUUCUCCAUUCUUGUCGUUGCAAUACAUCUCUGGCAACAACCGCUCUUUGCUGAGUAGUAUGACAUCCUCCUGAUCACAUCUAGUGUGUGUCCCCUCCUGGGACAUGGCCAUCAUCAAAGCUAGUUCUUCUUCGACGACACAAGUUAGAUGAGCUUCGUCGUCACGACCUUUUCCAGGACAUUUCGACGCGUAAUGUUCCAUCUUGUUGCAAGUGAAACACUUAAUGUGACUUUUAUCACGAGUGCCAUUUCCAGUGUUGCUAGUGUCUCCCGCACUAUUUUGACGCUCAGUGUCACGACCACGGCCACGACCACGUCCUCGCCAUCUUCCUCGAUCGGUAUCACCAAAUCCGCGCCCUUUGUUCAUCGAAGAGUUGUCACCACUAUGUCCUUUUUGUCUAGCUUUCCAUUCGGCAUGGGUAAGUAGGAGUUGCCCAUCGGUGUUGUUAUUGUUUUCUCGGAGUCGUGUUGUUCGUUCCUCGUAUGCCUUCAUCCGUCCAAUUGCUUCUUCAAACGGCAUAGUUUCGAGAUCUUGGAAUUGCUCGAUUCCGGCGACAAUGGGAAGAUAUUUGUCGGGGACGAAAUCGAGGAGCUUCUUGACCAAUGAUGAAUCCUCAAGUGCAACUCCGAGGGUGGUGAACUUGCUUGCUAAUCCGCUGAUUUUUCCUGCGAAAUCAUUGAUCGUCUCGGUUUCCUUCAUCCGAAGAACAUUAAACUCACUCUUCAAGGUUUGAACUCUCGCCAUCUUCACCCGCUCACUGCCCAAGUACCUUGUCUUGAGACUAUCCCAUAUUUCCUUUGCGGUCUUCUUCUUUGCGAUUUAUAGAAGCACAUCUUCCGGGAUGUAUUGGAGAAUGUAUGCACGUGCCUUCUUGUCUUUCUUAACAUCCACUUCGGCUCCUCUCGCUGGCUCUAUUGCUUCCCAAACUCCUUGAGCAUCGAGGAUUGCUUCUGCCUUUAUCGUCCACACCGUGUAGUUGUGUGGAGUUAACAUCGGGUAGAGAAUCGGCAUUCCACCAUUCUCUUUUGUUUGUUGUGAGAUGCUUGCCAUCUUUGUUGGAAUAUGCGAUGAGAAGACAACCUGCUCUGAUACCAAAUGUUGGUUUUACAACAAAGGAUUUGUAAAAUCUCACGCAUUCUUCUUGAAGAAAACAAAGAUAAAUACUUUGUAAGAUGUAUUGUCAAGAGUGAGAAAAAAUUAAAUGAAACUUCUUUCCUUUAUUCAAUUUGAUGGACUAAUAUUUAUAGUCUAAAAGGAAGCAAAAAUUAGUAACCCACUAACUUAAUGCUUGCUAAAACUUUGGAGAUAAUUAAGACAAUAAAUAACCAAAAUAAUAAAUAGAAAAAUAACUUAAUUCUUCCACCUAUUUAGGAAGAUCAUGACAAAUUAAUAGCCCACACCAUAGCUCUCAAUUUCCAUGUUUUUCUGUAAUACUUUUGUAAUCUGGGCCCCCCUCCAACCUCUCUACUAUUAAUAUAUUUCUGGUGGCUUAGCUUUGCUCUCUCACCUUGUUUUUUCCUCAAAAAAAAAAAAAAAAAAAACACUUGGAUAACAGAUGUUUUAAGCUCUUGUUGGCUUAUAUAAUUUUAUAUGUUAUUUUCCAUUAACAAAGUAGUCUAUAUUAAUUUCAAAUAUAAUUACAUACUAUUGCCGAAUUUUGUUUUUGGCAGAUAUAGCUUUGUUGAUUCUAGAAUGGAACGUGUCAUUAACAUUACAACGAGACUUCAAUAACGAGACACCCUUACAUAUAAUGGCUCGAAAGUCAGGUGCAAUUGGCAAGAAAAAUAAACCAACAAUGUGGGAAUCACAUGUUAAUAAAUGUAAGCUUCUUUUCUUCUAUUAAAAGUUUAAACUUAAUGCAAUGCAAUUAUAUAUAUACGUAUAUAUGUUAUUUAUGUUCAUUAUUAUUAUUCAUGGUUUAGGGUUGUCCAAGCAUAUAUACAAAAAGAAAAUGAUGCAAAUACAAGCAUAUAAAAUGGUGGAGCUGAUGUGGAGUGUUGUACUGAAGGUGAUUCCAGAAAAUAAGGUGUCGGAUUUCAUGAUGAAUCCGUCAAGUAUGUUACACGAAGCUGCAAGAGUUGGAAAUGUUGAAUUUUUGAAAGUGUUAACAAAUGAAUAUCCUGAUCUUGCAUGGAAUGUUGAUGGUGGGAGGAAGAGUAUAUUUCAUGUAGCUGUUGAGAAUAGACAAGCCAGUGUUUUUAGUUUAAUUUAUGAAAUGGGUGAGUUCUUGGAUUACCUACCUUGUUAUUUUGAUGAGGAAAACAUGAGUUUGUUGGAAUUAGCUGCCGAAAUGCCAGAUCCCAGUCACCUUAAUCAAGUUUCAGGAGCUGCCUUUCAAAUGCAUCGAGAACUUCUAUGGUUUAAGGUUUGUCUUUUUUCCACACAAUUUUAAAUAUGGGAUAGUUGCAAAUAUGACAAUUAGAUUCCAUGCUGAUAAAUUUUGCUAUAUUUAUAAUUUUAAGUAGAGGAUUUGUAAUCUUAAGAAGAGGAUUAGGUUCAGCUCCCUAGCAAAUUGUAGUCUCUAUUUAGUUCCAAAACUAUAAUUGUAACAUAAACGAACUGGUUGCAGCAAGUGGAGAAGAUUGUUGAGCUUACAAUGAGGAGAAAGAAAGGGAAGCGAAGCCCACGUGAAUUGUUCACUCAACAACACAAAGGUCUAGUUGAAGAUGGAGAAAAAUGGAUGAAGAAAACAGCAAAUUCAUGUAUGUUGGUUGCAACUCUCAUCACCACCGUAGUUUUCGCUGCAAUCUUCACCGUACCAGGUGGAUACACCAACACCACCAGCACCACAGGGAGCGUCAUCGAGAACAACAACAACACAGGCACUCCUCUAUUUCUUUACCACAAAUGGUUCACUGUUUUUGUGAUAUCAGAUGCAACAGCUUUGAUCUCAUCUUCAACUGCCAUACUAUUGUUUUUGUCAAUCCUCACAUCACGUUGUGCAGAAGAAGAUUUCCUUCUAUGGCUCCCAUUAAAGUUGGUAUUUGGACUUGGAACUCUCUUCUUAUCAGUAGUUACAAUGGUAUUGGCCUUUAGUGCCACAUUUUUUUUGUUCUAUGGCAAAGAUACGGCUUGGGUCCCAUUGCUUGUUGCUGGUAUGGCUAUUGUUCCUGUUUAUUGUUUCGGUGUAUUGCAGUUUAGGCUUUGGGCUGAUGCAAUAGCAGCUUUAAGGGCUACUUACUUCUUGUAUUUUAGGGAUGGGAUAGUUGCAAAUUUAUCAACUAUAUUUAAAAUAAUUAACUAUAUAGCAACUUUUUAAAAAAUUUGCAAAUAUAGCUGUCAAAUUCUAUCAAUAAUAUAAGUCUAUCACCGAUAGACCAUGUUGCAAAUAUCGGUCUAUCACUGAUAAACCAUACGAAGUCUAUCAGCGAUACAAGUCUACCAGUGAUAAUCUUGCUAUAUUUGCACUUUUUUUAAAAUAUUGUUAUAUCCUUAAUUACUAUUCCUAAAAUGUUCAUCAAUUACAAUUUCCCUUUAGGGAUUUUAAGCCCAUAUUAUUGUUUUGAUAGCUCUCAAUCAUUUGUUCUUUUCAAGAAAAAAUAAAUUAUUAUUACGUGGAACCAAAUAACCAUUGAUUGGAAUCUCCAUUCUAGGAGACCCCUUCGUAGCUGUGAAUUAACCAGGUGGAUGAGCUUAAUUCCACAUUACUUACUCCUACAUUUGUUGUAAAUGGUCAUGAUUUGCCGACCUGGAAACUAAACACACAAGGGACUUUCAAUAUAGCCUUAGUAAAAUCCGCCAUCCACACAAGUGAUAGUAGAGGGCGAAAUUCUUUUGCUCCAUAAACUUUUAGAAACUUGUGGAGAUCCAGUAUAACAAAAAAAUGCAAGUUCUUCAUAUGGUCCCUUGUACAUGAAUGCAUUAACAUGGCUGACAAUCUUCAAAAGAGGCUCCCUAACACGAAUCUAAGACCAAACUGAUGUGUUAUGUGCAGAAAAAAUGAAGAAAACAAACACCAUCUCUUCCUACACUGCUCAUAUGCCGCUGCCAUAUGGGAUAAAUUAAGAUUGAUGCUUAAUUGGAACUCCACACACUCCCGAACCUCCUCACUGUGCAUUGAUGUUAGUAAAUUAAAACAAAAGAACAAAAAGAUGAUCAUUUUAUUCAACUUUGUGGUAAUAGUUCUAUGAAACAUUUGGUUGGAAAGAAACAACAGAACGUUCAACGACAAAGAGAAGCGGCCAAUUGAUUUAUAGGAAGAUAUUAAAGCUCUGGCUGGACUUUGGACUAGUAGAUCCAAACACUUCUUAAAUUUUUCUGAGAGUUCUACUGCGCUUAAUUUAAAAACAAUAAUAAAUUAUUAUUAUUCGUGAAGUAGGUAGGGAUGUAAUGUACAUUAAAAUUCCAUAAUUAUGAAUUUAAUUUGAAUUAUGAUCCUAAUAAAAAAUCAUUAUUGAUUGAUACGUGUGUCGUCACAUUUCACAAGAUCCUAUGCGUGUAUAUAAUUUACUUUAUUAAGAAUAAAACAUGCCUAAUUGGUCUAAAAUUUGAGUCUUUAUUGUCUAUAUAUAAAAUUGUAAAUUUGGAACAACAAAUUUUAAAAUAUGAAGAAUUAGACGGAUGUAACAUAAAUUUUUAAAAUCAGAGAAUAUGCAAAAAAAAAAAAAAAAAAAAAAAGAUACCCGAUUCAAAUUUGAUUUUUUUUUUUCUUUUAACAAGAUAUUAGAAGAAAAGAGGAGUGAAGGGUGUGUUUGAGAAUAUCCGUUUAGCAUCCACGUCAUAUUCAAAUUUUGAACACUAAAUGGCUUUCUUACAAGGCUAAGCAUCGGUUGGUCAGUAGUUUUUUUUUUUACCAAUCGACACCGAACCGACUAUGGUCAGCUUAGUAAAUGUUCAAACCAACCAUGACCAUAAAAUAGUACCAACCAACCAUUGAUUAGUCAAUCAAUCAGGUUUAGGUUGGUUUAAGCCUUUGGAAAUUUUUGAAAAAUGUCAUGAUCAGUUUACACCGCUUGAGCCUCUUCUUAUCUCUUAUCAACCGCCUUCCGUUUGGUUUGUUUUAGUCGGUUGGCUUGAUUAAAUUUUCGAUCUAUCAUGCUAAUCUCUACUCUUACUUUUCUAAUUUUUCAAUUAUUAUAUCUUAUAUAUAUACCAAAAGAAAAAGAAAAUUGCGAGUGCAUUGUUGGAGUUGCAUAAUCGGAGUACACAAUCCAUCUAAAUGUUCAAACACAAGUUAUCACGUGAUAAUUUUGUUUGCGAUAUUUAUAUAUCGAACCAACAGACCAUUUAAUAGCAAUUUGACAUAAAAACUGUACCUAAAUAUUACAACCACUUGACAGGGAGGAAAGUAAAUAGAUGUGUGUGUACAUAUAUUGCAUUAUUUAUUUAAAAAAAUUAAGAAAAAUGGUGACUUCCUCGUAUAAUUUCCACAAAUUAUGAGCCCUUUUGAUUUCUAGUUGUGAGUAUGGUGAGUGACUUUAUUCAGCAUAGUACUGUCUAACUAAAAGUUUCACACAAAAUUAUUUGUUCCAACUCCAAACUGCUGACCCAACGACUUCUUAGUGUCAAUGGAUAGGGGGAUAAGUUUAAGAUACUACGAUCGAGAUCAGAAAAUACAUUCUUGUAAGGACUUGAAAUCACCCAUUAAUCCCAAAAACCUAAGUUAAUGGGUAAGGAUGAAUUUAAUAUAAUAGCUAAUAUAGUAGAACAUACAUUGUCAUAUGCUCGUAGAUUAGUCCUCAAAACAUAAAACACUCUGAUAUACGACGACCUAAAAUUCUGUUUGUGUCAAAGUGAGCCCCAAAGACCACAUGGAUAUAUCGUCAUUUCCAGUCAAUGUAAUGUGAAAUUAUACAUUAUAUUGAUGGAGUUGUUUGAAAACCACACCAACCUUGUACUUGGUGAAUUAACUUCCCCAAUUUUCUCAACUCUCCCCCUUCCACAAGGUCUUCCUUCCAAGCAAAACCCUCUCUUUAUUAAUUCUUUGUUUGUACUCUCAUCAACUUAAUAUUAUUAUUUUUAGUUAAUUUGUUUUUCUUUUCCCACAAACCUUCUUGAUCUUCAACCUCUCUCUUCCUUCCACCUACUGUCUUUCUCUCUUUUCCUCUUCUUUUUCUUGUGUGGUUUCAUCUUCAUGGUCGGAUGUUUCUGUCUUUUCCUCAAGUAAAACGAUCUUCAAACCAAUUGAAUCAUGUUCAUCACUAUAAGUUCUAAAGCACUCACUCUCAACCCUUUUCAAAUUUUAAAAUUCCCUAAAGAGAAAUGUUACAGUAGAAUUCGUACUCUAUGAGUUCAAAUGUUCAUAUAUCUCAUUAAUUCUGCAUCUGGCAAGCAUUAAUUGUAAAAUGUAUUUGAAAUUUUUCAUUCAAAAUUUGCACAAUAUUUACGCUGGUAGAGAGAAAAGAGAGCAUCUCUCUCCUCAUUCAUUCGACAUUACCAACCGCCAAUAAGAAAAUAAAUGCUUUUGAAAUUUCUCAGAACUUUAAAAUUUUUAAACCUUGGAGAGUAGAGAGAAGCGCCUCAUCAAUUCAAUUAGCAUCUUGGCAAUGAAUACUAUUAAAUGUAUUUUUGUCCUAGUGUCUGACUUGUUGUUUAAUUAUAGUCUAAAUUAUAUAUAAAAAAAUGCUUCUAAAUUUUUGUAAUAUGUGUUAAAAAUACAUCUACACAUUUUAUACACAACUUGAUACACCCCAUGCAUAUCUAAUACACAUAUUUAUAUACAUAUAUGAACGUUGAGAGUGGAAAAACAUUAAUUUUUUUAAUUUAAUAGCAAUUAAAUAAAAGGAUAUUUUAAAAAUGGCAAAAUAAAUUAAAAUAAUUACGAGUGAUAGCAAAAUGUUUGAUUAUAUUAAUGAUAGUAUUCUAUCACUAUAGCAUAUCAAUACUAUUACUAGUAAAAUUUGCUAUAUGUUGUAAAUAUUUUGUAAAAGUUACUAUUUUUUAAAAGUUCCUUUAAAUAAAUAUGCCAAAUAUAUUUUUUAUCUAACUAAUUUAUUGUUUCAGUAUGUUUUCCAAGAGAAACUUUUGUUUUAGAAUUUUAAAGCAAUAUGAAGAAUGUAAAUAUGGAUGCACACAUAAAUGUGGUUCACUAAUGGUAUGUUAGUUACGCGACCGACAAAGAAAGAACAUGUAUUAUAUAUUAGAGAGAAUGUUUCAUAAAUACAAUACAACGACAAAAUUAGAGAAUUUAUAUAUUGCACUUUUUUAAAUCUCAAGAGAGCCCACGUUGGAUUGUUCGUAGCACCAUGUAAUAAAUCGAAGGCAUUCCAACAGUGAGAUUAGUUUCAUUAGAUUUGUUUAAAAUUUUGGUAAAAGUGAAAUAAUAUUUUGAGUUUGUGGAGAUGUUCGGGUAUAUGACCGAACGUAUCUGUUUUAAAAAAAAUAUAUAUUUUGAGUUGGUGGGUAAGUAUAAUUGUCAAAACAAGUAGGAAAGUAAUGUACGUAUUGAUAAAUCUGUGGGACACUGAAGUAUUUUAUUUCUAAAAUAAAAGAAAGAUACCGUACAUAAUCUAUUAUUAAAAACCCCAUAGAUCAUUUCAAGAGGUAGCUUCAAUAUCUUUCGAGUCUCCAAACUUUUUUGAUAGAUUUGUCGAAAGAUUCAAAGAGGUGAUGGAGGAGGCCAAUAUGGAAAACGGCUGUACGUAUUUCUGCCUAUUGUUAACAAAAUAUUUAUCUAUAUCCGGUUUGAUUGAAGUUUGAAGGGCAUUGCCCACUUCAUUUAAUUUAUUUGAAGAUAUCAAUUCCUACAAGCCAUGUCUUCAUGUUCUCUUCAUUUGUCGUUUUUUUAUUUUUCUGCUAGUUUCUAACAUUUUGGACCAUCUGCUUUAGUCUUCUGUUGAAGGAGAAGUCGGUAUAACUUUGUUGGCUGGUAUUAGACCACCAGUCUCUAAUGUUCUUGUUGAAUGUAUGAUUUUCCAAAUCAAUAUUUAUUGAGGCGAAAUGGACAUGUGCCCCAUUUUAAAUUGGAUGUUUCAAGAACUAAUGGGAAGUGACCAGAAGUUGGGUCUUGCAAGCCUUCUGGCCUUCUGGAGAAGUGUACUGAGAAUUUGUCUUCCCAUUGUGAAGUAUAUAAGAAUAUGUCCAAUCUAAACAGGAUUGUUCUUGUUUGAAGGUUUGACCAUGUGUAGUUGGCAUUUGAGAGUGGGGGUCUAUCGAAGUAUACCUAUUUAUGAAUUCAUUGAAUUUGUGCAUGCUGCGUUCAACGAGGUUUGUUGUUGCAGUUUCAUUUGGCCAUUUAACCAUGUUGAAAUCUCCACCAGUUAACCAAUUUGUUUGGCAAGCUUGAUAGAAAGCCAUUUUAUGCUAAUAGCAGUACUUCAUAUGGAUUAUAGCAGUACUUCACACGGGUGCACUUGCUGAUCCAAACUUUUUUUUUAAAAAAAAAAUGGACCUUAACGUUUUAACAAUGUAGCUACUACAAAUUUGAUAAUAUAAGUUGAGACUUAAAUUAUUAUUGUUUAAUGUUUAAAGAUUAAUGUGGUUUCAUUUUAGUUAUCAUUUUAAUUGUUUGUUUUUGUUUUCUAUUUUUUAAAUGUUGUUGUUAAAUUUUUAUUUAUUAAAAAUAAAAAUCAUAUAUGUAUGAUAGAUGAUUUUGUUUUUUCUUUUAAUAUAUAUAUAUAUUUUUUUUAAAAAAUCUCUCUUUUUUUUUUUAAUUUUCAAUUUUCUUCCGAAAUUUAAAAGACAAAAAAUAUAAACUAGUUAGCAACAUACUUAAUUUGAAGGGGCACUUGCAAAAAUGGCAAAAUAAGUUAUAAUAAUUAAGUCCAUAUCACACACAUUUUAUUAUUUGCGAAAAUGGCAAAAACGAAACUCAACCCACACAUUAAGAAGUAAAAUGUCACAAAUGCCAUCGUUACUAAUAUACGUUUGAUACACCUUAUAAAUGUCUGAUACAUCUAAUACACCAGUUGAUACUUCUUGAUACACCUGAUACUUCUUCAUACACCCGAUAAAUUUAAUUGAUACACUUGAUGCACCUGAUACUAUUUGAUACACCCGAUACCGAAACAUUACUAAUAUAUGUUCGAUACACCUGAUACACGGCAGGUACAUUUUAUAUUCUUCACUUAUAUAAUCGAUUGAUUAAAUGCACUUGAUAUGCUUGAAGUCCUAUUUAUAUAUUUGAUAUACUAUUGACAUACACUUGUAACAUCGAUUCAUAUACUUGAUGAUGAUUCACUUUAUUGAUAUUCCUUAACAAUAUAUUGUUGAUAUACUUGAUAAUAAUACAGUGAGUUACAUCAUUCAUAUACUUAAUAAAACUCUAAUGAACUGCAUAAAAUUUGAAAAAACAAAAAACACGUAGUAAGUAUAUUAACCAACUAAUACAUAUAAUAUAAGUAUAUCACAACAUUGAUAUACGAAACUAAGACAAAGUAAAACCAAUAAAAUAAUGUAAAAAACAAAACAAGCUCAUUUGGAAUUAGAUUUAACUCAAAAUACACAUCGAAGAAAGUAAAAAAAAAAAACCACAAAUGAAUUUAAAUUACUCCGAUCAACCAUCAUUAUAUUAUAUUUCAUAUUGCAAUUAUUGUACUAUUGAUAUUUUAAAAUUAAGAUUAAAACAUAAAGAACAAAUAAUUUUUCUAGUAUAAGAAUAAAUAAAUAACUAGGGUCUUAAAAAGUGGGAGCAUAAAUAAAUAAUGAGUAGGGCAUUAAAAAAAAGGAAGAAAAAUAACUUAUUUAUGGGUAGUUUAGGAAUAAUAUCAAAUUUAAAAUGGAGAAGUGAAAUUUUUGCCAUAUUUGAAAAUUCUAAAGCAAUGUGCUAUAAUUGUUAUAUCAUAUUCUCAAAAUUAUGCAAUUUUCCUACUUUUAAAUUAUUAACUUUUUUUUGAAAAAAAUUAGAGUUACGAAAGAGAGUUAUUCUUUUUCUUUUGUUUUUAAGAUAGUUGUAAAUUUAGUUAUUAGAUUUAAUUAAAUAUAUAGCAAAAUUUUAAAUAUAGAAGUUUAUUUCCGAUAGACUAUGUUUACCACACGAGUCUAUCAACGAUAAAGUUAUAGUGAUAGUUUUGCUAUAUUUGUAAUUUUUUAUUUCUAAAAUGGCCAUUAAUUACAAUUUUUUUUUUCUUUUGGUAUUAAAUGGAUUGUUUGUUUGUAGGUCCACACCCGAACACUACAGAAGAGAUUAUAAAAGCUGUUAAUUUAUAUCAAGCUGCUUUCAAAGGUGAUUGGAAAGCUGCCCAAAGUAUAUUUGACGAUCAUCCUCCGUCAUGGAUCUCUAAGGAGAUAACAUCAAAAGGGAAUACGGCCCUCCAUAUUGCUGCUGCUGCGAAACAUAUUUCUUUUGUUGAAAAGUUGAUUAAACUAUACUCUCAUCAUCAAUUGGACUUAGCUAGACCAAAUGGAGCUGGAUGUACUGCCCUUUCUUAUGCUGCUGUAUCAGGAGUUGUAAGCAUCGCUGAAGCAAUGGUUCUCCAGAAUAACAUACUUCCAGAUAUUCCUGAUCAUAAAGGACGCAUCCCAGUCCUCAAAGCUGUAAUUUACAAACGCAAAGACAUGGCUUUCUAUCUUUACCAUCAGACUAAUUUUGAAGGUCUAGAAAACAAUCAGCAAUUUGAUCUUCUCCUAGCUACAAUCGACAGUGAUUAUUAUGGUUUUGCUUCCAAAUCCCUCAUUUGAUAAGUAAUAAUAAUCUUUAAUUAAUACUAUAAAUUCAAUGUUCUUAAUUACUCUUCAUUUUUCUUUUAUUGUAGAUAUAGCAUUAGAUAUUCUGAACAAGAAACCAACAUUAGCAAAGGAGAGCGUGGAAGAAACUGGUGAAACAGCUUUGCAUUUACUAGCUAGAAAGGCAAAUGCAAUUGGUAGCAGCGACAAACUUUGCUUCUGGAAAAGACAUAUAAACUCUCGUAAUUAAAUACAUAUCCAAUAUCAUUGCUUUCUCAUUAGUUAUAUGAUUUUACAUAUGUUCAUGUGAUUUAAUUAAUUUUGUAGGCUUCAAUAGAAUUUACAAAACAGCUGUAAUGCAAACAUUAGCCCAUCAAGUUGUUGACCGUCUAUGGAAUUUUUUCAUUGGGAACCUUUCAACACUCGAGAUGAAUGAGGACUUCCUGAAAACUCUCUCAGUUUUAUUGAAAGAUGCAGCAAGAGUUGGAAAUGUUGAGUUCUUGAUAAUACUCAUUCGCUCCUAUCCCGAUUUGAUAUGGAUAUCUGACGAAAACAACAAAAGCAUAUUUCAUGUAGCAGUUGAAAACCGACAAGAAAAUGUGUUUAGUCUUAUAAAUAAUAUAGGAGGGGUGAAGGAUUUCCUUGUCGAUGGUUACAAUGAAGAGAAUAGCUGUAACAUUCUACACUUAGCUGGAAAAUUAGCAUCUCCAUAUCACCUAAACAGAGUGUCAGGCACAGCUCUACAAAUGCAACGGGAGCUUCAAUGGUUUAAGGUAAGUCAUUCUUCAUGCAUAAAUUUAAAUUGUUCUUUUUUAACAUUAUGUAAUUGGGAGCAUUCUCCCCUACAUACAAGUUUUUAACUGCUCUACUUAAUUAACUUUUAAGGAAGUGGAGAAAAUCGUUACCCCAUUCCAUCAUGAAAUGAGGAUGAAAGAAAACUAUGGUGAUCAUGAUUACCCAACACCUCGUGAACUCUUAACAAAAGAGCACGAAAAACUUCGGAAAGACGGGGAAGGAUGGAUUAAAACCAUGGCAGGCUCGUGCAUGCUGGUGGCAACUCUAGUCGACACUGUGGUUUUCGCAGCGGCAUUUACGGUUCCAGGAGGCAACAAUGAUAAGAAUGGCAUUCCUAUUUUGCGAAAGGAUAAGAAAUUUGAACUGUUCAUAAUAGCAGAUUUUGUCGCUAUGGUGAUGUCUACAACUUCUAUACUCACCUUUUUGUCAAUUUUAAUAUCGCGCUAUGCGGAAGAAGAUUUUUUGGUGUCGUUGCCGAUCAAAUUAUUGUUAGGAUUGGUGACAUUGCUUGUUUCUAUAGCAUGCAUGGUGGUGGCUUUCUGUGCAACCUUCUUUCUUUCGUAUCAGGAAACAAAGUGGAAGAAUUAUCAAGUCGUCAUUGGAGCAAUGGCCAAUCUUCCAAUUGCCGGUGUUUUCUUGUUCCACUUAAAACUCAUGGUGGAUAUAUUGAUCAGUUCAACUUUUUGGCAACGACGUUCUUUGAGAAUAAGCAAGAGAAGUCUUUUUUAGUGCGCAAUUACACAAAUGGGCAUCUACCCAACUUCGUUGUUCUUCUAGGGUGUUGAGGUAAACCAUUAGCUAUUUCACCCAUUGAGGGUCUAAUAUUGUUGUUUUUGAUAUUGUUGCUUACCAUCAAGUUGUACUAAUUGCGCUAUUUACAACUUCUUGUUCUCUCUUUUUUCCUUUUUUUUGAGUGAAUUUGUGUAAGACUCAUUUUUUACGAUCUUCUGGCAUAUUUUGGUUUAAAUAAGUGUUUUAUAGAUAAUUUUAUUGAUUUUGGUUUAAAUAAGUGUUUUAUAGAUAAUUUUAUUGAUUUUUUUAACAAUAUAAUAGUAGAAAGAGAGUUGAGAUCUGAAGGUAUGUAACACUCCAAGUUUAGAAGGGAAACAUGAAUGAAACGAUGUCACAUCUGAAUAAGAGAGGUCUAAAGAACAUGAAGACAUGCAAAAAGAACUCGUACACUAGAAGAAAUCAAGCCUUUAAUGUCAUGUUAGAAAAAAUAAAAACAUGGGUUUUAAUGUCGUUUUUCAAAAGGCUAAUGUUUAAUAUCGGUUUUAAACCGACAUUAAAGAUGACGGUUUAAUGUCGUCCUCCUUUUGAAAAAUAACAUUAAAGCACAUUUUUUAUUUUUUAUUUUUUAUUUUUAUAUUUUUUAAAAAGUUAAUGGUUUCUCUCUCAUACUUUACUCCUCUCUCCAAGCACACGAUUUUCAGUUGUCGUGCGAGAAUCCCUCAAGCCAGUCCCUCGUGCCCAGUAAUCGUCGUGCUUCCGCUGCAAGAAUCCCUCUUGCCUAGUCAUCAAAUCCACCACCAUCAUGAGCCCAAACGUUUUCUUGAAAAGCUUUUGUAGAAAGGAAAAUAUAUAUAUAGAUGGGGGAGUUGUUACAGCUUUAGAUGGUGAGAACUUUGAAGGAUGAUCUGUUGCUAUUUUAAUGUCAAUUGGAAAAACAAUGUUUGCUUAUGUUGCUUUGCAGAUUUGAAGAAGUUAAUUGGACAUUUGAAGGAGAUAUUUGAAGAGAUACAAAUAUGGGCUUUUACCUUGGUUUAUUUACAACUUUUCCCUAUUUGUUUUCCAUUUUCAAAACUCGAUCCAUAUAUUUCAUACAUGUCUUUUAUUUACAACUUCAGAAAAAUGGUCGAAUACUUCAUUCACUACCUGAAUGUUUUGCUUAUUGCUUUUCCCCCCAUUUUCUCAGGUUUUCUUUUCUCAUCCAACUCAGUUUUCCCUACCACUUCACAAUUCUUUCCUUCAUAAUUAUUAAUCAUUUUAGUUCCCUUUGAUCGUUUUAUAAAUUGGUUUGACUCUUCCUCUAGCUAAAUCUUUUUUUAAGCGUCACUUUUGAAAUGAACUUAAAAAAUUAUCUUCCAAGAGUUACAUAUUUGAGUUAUGUGAUACAGGGGCUUCUAAACAUGCAUCAACAAUUUUAAAGAUGAAAUAUAUAUCUACUUUUAGCCCUUCAUCUUUGAUAAUACCUAGAAAUUCUUUUAAAUAUCUUUCUCAGUUAUCAGUUUAUAGGUGUGAUUUGCAGGAAUUUUUCUGUAAUGUCCCCAAACUUUUUUAAUUAAGUUAAGGUCAUUAUUAACCAGAUAAAUAUCAAAAGACACUUUCUCACAAAGAGGAAAAUUAAAUAUUUUAUAAAAAUUUAAUCUCAAAUAAUUGUUUGAAAACAUAAAAUCGACAAAACCAAUAAAAAUAAUUUUAAAGUGCGACCUGCGGGUACUAACAUUUUAAAGAAAAUGAGAAUGAAUAAAUAAGAGGUCUUUAAAUAAAAUGUCUAAAAUUUAAAAUACUAAAAAAACAUGUAAAUAGACAUGGAAGCAAAACUAAAUCCUCCAUAUAGCAUGUCACGCAUUCUUCCUAUCGCUCGCCAACUUUUCAGAUCCUCUACCUUUGUCUGAAAUAUUAAACAUAGGAAAUAGUGAGUAUAUAAAAUAUAUCUAGUAAGGGAUAAACUACUAGUCCCGCUAGGUGAUAUGUUAACUUUCCGUUAAGAAUAUAGUAAUAGUGUUGUGUGUCCAAUGGAGCACACCUCGGCGAGUGAGAUCAAACAACACUCUUAAUCAUGUGAGUGAUUCUCAAGUAACACCACUAGUCGUGCGACUCAUUGUAGAUACACACUGAGUGAGACCGUACAACCACCCCUAAUCGUGCGAGUGACCAAUAGGAACACCCCUAGUCGUGCAAGUGAUUUAGAUACACAUUCCUAAACAUGUCUGUGAUACAUAAAUACACUCCUAAUAGUGCGAGCAAUUCCAAAGGAACACCCCUAAGUUGCGUGAAUGACCUCGUAUAUAUACACAAUAAAAUUGUCCCCUAACCAUGCAUGUGAUCCAUAGGUACACCCUUAAAUCGUGCAAGCGAUCUUGAAGAGACACCCCUAGUCGUGCGAGUGACCGCAUAGAUAGAAUCACAAUACAGGUGAAGUAAAAGCUCAACAAACAAAGUGAAUAGACACAUCAUAGUCCAAGGCAUGUAACAUAUCAUAAUCAGCAUAAACAUGACAUGAAUAUUAAUCAUAAUGUCCUUAAUCAUGUGAUUAAAUAUAAUAUAUCAUGCAUCAUAACAUAUCAGUCAUAAUAUAUCAGUCAUCUAUAUCAACCAUCCAUAUUAAUCGUCCAUAUUAGCCAUCUAUAUCACAUGCAAACUUAUAAAUUUUAUGUUUGAAGGUCCAAUAGUAGAAUCUCUUACCUCGAAAUUAGUUAAAUUAAUUUUUAAGUGGCAACCAAAGAAUUUUAAAUGAAUAUGUCCUAAACAUUAGAGGAAAAAAUUCAAAUAACUUAAUUAAUCUAUAAAAUAAACUGUGGUUAAUAAAAAGUAUGUAACUUCAUUUAACAAGAAAUUCUUUUUUUUAUCUAAGAAUAUACAGUAGAUAAGAGUAACUAUGGUGCAUCAUGUCAACUAAGUUGACAUCUUUUUAAAAAAACAAGGAGUAGAUAAUAGUUUGAGAUAGAAUGUGUUUUGGUUUUUGUUUUUUAAAAGUUUUCCUUUGGCCUGAAAAAGAGAUUUAGAGAUAAACUUUAUUUUUUACAAAUAGAAUUGGCCUUAAUUUAACUAUAAAUUCAAUGUUCUUAAUUACUCUUCAUUUUUCUUUUCUUGUAGAUAUAGCAUUAGAUAUUCUGAACAGGAAACCUGAAUUAGCAAAGGAGAGGGUGGAAGAAAAUGGUGAAAGUGAAACAGCUUGGCAUUUACUAGCUAGAAAGCCAAAUGCAAUUGGUAGCAGCGACAAGUUUUGCUUCUGGAAAAGAUAUAUAAACUUUCGUAAUUAAAUACAUAUUCAAUACCAUUGCUUUCUCAUUAGUUAUAUGAUUUUAUAUAUGUUUAUGUGAUUUAAUUAAUUUUGUAGGCUUCAAUAGAAUUAGCAAAACAGCUGUAAUGCAAACAUUAGCCCAUGAAGUUGUUAAUUUUGCGAUUGGGGACCUUUCAACAUUCGAGUUAGAUGAGACGUUCAAAGAAACUUUCUCCAUUUUAUUGAACGAUGCAGCAGGAGUUGGAAAUGUUGAGUUCUUGAUAAUACUCAUUCGCUCCUAUCCCUAUUUGAUAUGGAUAGUUGACAAAGACAACAAAAGCAUAUUUCAUGUAGCAGUUGAAAAUCGACAAGAAAAUGUGUUUAGUCUUAUACAUGAUAUGGGAGGGGUGAAGGAUUUCCUUGUCAAUUGUUACAAUGUAACCAAUAAAUGUAACAUUCUACACUUAGCUGGAAAAUUGGCAUCUCCAUAUCAUCUAAGCAGAGUGUCAGGCGCAGCUCUACAAAUGCAACGGGAGCUUCAGUGGUUUAAGGGUAAGUCAUUCUUCAUGCAUAAAUUUAAAUUAUUAUUUUUUUAACAAUAUGUAAUUGGGAGCAUUCUAAGCUACAUACAAGUUUUUAAAAUGCUCUUCUUAAUUAACUUUAAGAAAGUGGAGAAAAUCGCUACCCCAUCCCAUCAAGAAAUGAAGAUGAAAGAAAACAACGAUGAUCAUGAUGGCCUAACACAUCGUCAACUCUUCACAAAAGAGCACGAAAAUCUACGGAAAGACGAGGAACAAUGGAUUAAAAACAUGGCAAGCUCGUGCAUGCUGGUGGCAACUCUAGUCGUGACAAUGGUUUUCGCAGCGUUAUAUACGCUUCCAGGAGGCAACAAUGACAAGGAUGGGAUUCCUAUUUUCGAAAAGGAUAAGAAAUUUGCAGUGUUCAUAAUAGCAGAUUUUGCCGCUCUGGUGAUGUCAACAACUUCUAUACUCACCUUUUUGUCAAUUUUGAUAUUGCGCUAUGCGGAAGAAGAUUUUUUUGGUGUUGUUGCCGAUCAAGUUAUUGUUCGGAUUGGUGACAUUGCUUCUUGUUAUAACAUGCAUGGUGGUGGCUUUCUGUGCAACCUUCUUUCUUUCGUAUAGUGAAACAAAGGGGAAGAUUGAUCAAUUUAUCAUUGGAGCGGUGGCCAUCCUUCCCAUUGCCGGUUUUUUCAGGCUUCACUUUACAUUCAUGGUGGAUAUAUUGCGUUCAACCUUUUGGCCACAUUAUUCUUUGAGAACAAGCAAGAAAAGGCUUUUUUUAGUGCGGAAUUACACGAAUGCGCAUCUAUCGAACUUCAUUGUUUUUCUGUCGAACUCUUUGAUGUUUUUCUAGGAUGUUAAAGAUAAACCAUUAGCUACGCCCAUUGAGGGUACAUCCGGGAUCUCUGAAUUAGGUUGAUAAACCGUAACACCUUCGAUCCGAUGAACAUAAAACAAUUAUUUUUAUUCGUUGGAAUAUAGUUACAUUCUGAUUUUCCUACUUUGUAGACAAAAGUAAAUUCAAAUUAAAUUUGGAAAUUUUUUAGGUGGAAAGAUUUCAUUAUAAGAACAACCAGAAAAAGGAAAUAAUAUACAUUUUUUGGUUCUUGAGUUUUGUAGGUAAAUUUGAUCCUGAAUGUUUCAAAUUCAGGUAUUUUAAUCUUUUGAAUAUUUAGGAAUAGGUUUAAAAUGUCACUCUACCAUUGUAUUUGGGUUUGAUCCACAUCUUGUUACUGUACUUUAGAUUAGGUUAGGUUGAAAGUUAGUUCUUCACACUUACUCUUCCAAGUAUCUCCCUCAUUUUACAAGAUCUUCAAAAUUUUAUUUGUCGAGUCUCUAAACUAUCCUAAACUGUUCUUUCUUUUCUCUCUCUCUCUAUGGAUGAUCCAACCGUUUACUACCAAUAAGUACCUGAAUUUUAAUCCAUAAACUUUGAUGUUUUCAAACAUUUGUUAAAAUUCAUAGAUCUAUUAUUAUUAUUAUUUUUUAAAAGAUAUGAUAUGGGUCCGUAGCUGCAUCGAAACAUCUCCACUAGGUGGACACUUCCAUAAAAGUUUAGAUCUACUAUAAACACGUAAUAAAAAGUUUAGAUCUCUUUUUUUUUUUUUGAAAGUUUAGAUCUCGUUCUUUAAAUACUGGUUUUGAAAAAGGAUACAUAAUUGAGGGGUGCACCUGAACAUCUUUACUAAGGGGACAUCUUCUUAACACCUCAACAUCUUCCAAAAGAUGCAUCAUUUAUAACAAUUUUGAUUCUAGUUUUUUAAAAAAAGAUACGUUGGGUCAGUAGGUGCAAUCGGACAUCUCCACUAGGUGGACACCUCCUUAGUACCCUCAUCAUCCCCGCUUUCAUUAAUAUAGGAAGAAUUAGUACAAUUACAGCAGGGGAUAAAAGCCAAACGACAGUGCGAAAAGCUAAAGGGCUAGAGCUAAGCCCACAACAAAAAGUUAGAAAACAUUUAAAUUGAUAGCGAUAGAGGAAGCACUAUAAUUUGCAAACAUAGAGUAUUUACUAGCCCACAGCUCCGAGAGAGAAAGGAUGUCUUCCUAGAGAUCAAUGGUAGAUUUUAAUUCUAGUUUUAUGACUUUGAUAUAUAUGUUUGUUUUCCUCCCACAUUUUCCAUUAUGGUUUACGCUUGGAUUAAGGUUGGAUAAAUAAAUAAGGGGCACUUGCAACAAUGGCAAAAUAAGUUGUAAUAAUUAAGUCCAUAGCAUACACAUUUUAUUAUUUACAAAAAUGGCAAAAAUGAAGCCCAACCCACACAUCAAGAGGUAAAAUGUCACAAAUGCCCUCAUUACUAAUAUACGUUUGAUACAUCUUAUACACGUCAGAUACACCUAGUACACCCUUUGAUACACCCGAUAUAUUUAAUUGAUACACUUGAUGCACCUGAUACUCUUUGAUUCACUCGAUAUCGAAACAUACUAAUAUAUGUUUGAUACACAUGAUAUACUGCAUAUACAUUUAGUAUUAUUCACUUAUACAAUUGAUUGAUUAAAUACAUUUGAUAUGCUUGAAGUCCUACAUAUACACUUGAUAUACUAUUGAUAUGCACUUGUAAACUCGAUUCAUAUACUCGAUAACGAUACAUUGAGUUACAUCAUUUAUAUACUUAAUAAUACUCUAAUGAACUACAUAAAAUUUGAAAAAAUGAAAAUCACGUAGUAAGUAUAUUAAUCAACUAAUACAUAUAAUAUAAGUAUAUCACAACAUUGACAUACGAAACUGAGACAAAGUAAAACCAAAAAAUUAAUGUAAAAAAAUAAAACAAAAUCAUUUGGAAUCAAAUUCAACUCAAAAUACAUAUCGAAGAAAAUAAAAAAAAAUAUCACAAAUGAAGUUAAAUUACUCCGAUAAACAACCAUUAUAUUAUAUUUCAUAUUACAAUUAUUGUACUAUUGAUAUUUUAAAAUUAAGAUUAAGACAGAAAAAAUAAAUAAAUUUUUUAGUAUAAGAAUAAACAAAUAAUUAGAGUCUUAAAGAGUGGAAGCAUAAAUAAAUAAUGAGUAGGACAUUAAAAAGAGGAUGAGAAAUAAGUUAUUGAACGGUAGUUUAGGAAUAAUAUUAGAUUUAAGAUGGAGAAGUGAAAAUUUUGCCAUAUUUGGAAAAUUCUAAAACAAGAUGCUAUAAUUACUAUAUCAUAUUCUCAAAAUGUUAUCCUAUCCAAUUUCUCAAUAAAUAAAUUACAAGCAUAUUUUUAUGAUCGGGACUUUUAAAGUGUGUUUGACUUUGAGUAAUCUUAUAUUCUUGCAUUGGAUGAUUUUUUUUUUUACUUAAUUAUGGAUAGAACUAGUGUUUAAAAUCUUCUGUUUCAAACUAUCAAUAUGGAAGACCGAAAUCAUGGUAUAAAAACAAAUUGAAAUAAGGGCUAAAGAGAAGCCUAUAGUACAAUAAACAUAAGAGAGUUAAGAGAAGACACUAAUAUUUAGGGCUACGGUUAUAGCAUAAUAACCCGAGAAUAGUCGGUGUCUAGAGGACCAAUGACCGAUCAACUUGUAAAUGUCCUCCCAGAUGUUGAUGUUGGUGGUAUAUUUAUUAUUAAAAAUCUCAUUGUUCCACUCAAGCCAAGUAGUCCACAAGGUAGCCACCACAACAUUGAAUUGAAUGAUGCCUUUUCUAUUCUUUAGUGUUGAUGGAGCAAAUAUCUUCACACAUAGAGAGGCAGUUUUAGUUUGAUUAUUGUUGAACCAGCAGCCGAUGAUGUCAUGAAUCUUUUCUCAAAAGAUUUAGGAGGUGUGACGAAAGAGGAAAGAGAUGCUUAGUGUCGUCUCCAUGCAUUUUAGCUUUCUUGCAAUCAAAAUGAAUCUCAAACUGCCCCUGCCUCGGUAAAAAUUAUUUUGUUUGAGAAAUUAGUGUGUUCCCUGAGUUCAAUCGACUUGGAUUUACCACUAAAACUAGUGUUUUGGUAUGUAUUUUUGGUAAUUUAUUUGACAUAGAUAUGGGCGACGAAAUUCAUUUGUCAAAUGUAUAGCGACAUUUUUAAAAAAUUACAAAUAUAAAUGAUAGACUUCUAUUGUUGAUAAACUCUUAUGGUCAAUCAGUGUAGAUCAAUAUUUUCAACAUGGUCUAUAAGUGGUAAACUUUGACAAAAAAUUUCUAUAUUUGCAAUUUCUUAAAAAAUAUUGUUAUAUAUGGAAAUAUUUUGAAUCUAAUUGCUAUAUUUGCAACCAUCUCAAAAUUAUGAGACGAUGCUUGGCAAAGAAGAAAACACGAGGCAACUGGAAUUUAGGUUUGACCCAUUAUUAUAUUAGUGCACUACUAGAAAAUGGUUUUUAACGAUGCAAAAUUUGUGUCAUAAAGAGUUUCAAGGACGCAAUUUUUGCGUCAUUCAAAUCCUUGUCAAGAUAGGAUAUUUAAAACACUUUGGGCAAAAUUCGUGAGGGUUAUGAUGGUUGUGAGUUAGCGAGCAUAUCGUAUGAAGGAAGGGGGAAAUUUUUUGGAAUAAGGGUUCUUUUAUUUGGAAUUUUUUUUUAAUGACACAAAAUUAUGUCAUUAAUUAAUGAUGCGAAAAUUACGUCAAGAAAUAUAUAAAUCCAAAAUUCGCGUUUUUUCCUACCAGAAUUCUGCACAUUUUUAAUUUUUAAUUACACAUUUUACUCCAUCCAUAACUUUUUUGUUGAUUUCAAGUGUUAUUGUAUCCCAAAUUUGUAGUAGUGGUGUUGCAUAUAUUAUAUAUGAGAAAAUUAUAGUAAAUAAAAACAAUUAAAAAUAUAGCACUAGGAUAAAAUAAAUGCAAAAAUUGAAAAAAGUAGAAAAAAAAAUUAAAAUGUCAAGUUUGUCAUUAUGUGGCUAUCAUUGAUAAAAGUUAUCACUAAUAGCCGCUAUCAAUGGUAGCAACCGAUGACACAUUUUUCAACUUGAAAGCUAUUAGUGGUAACAGCUAUUAGUGAUGGCAACUAUGCUGUGAUGGCAAUUUUGACAAACUGGGAAGAAACUUUUGAAAUAGUAGCUGGUCGUGGGCGUUUUAAUCUUUUACCAUUUUUUUCUAUAUAUGCAAAUAUUUUAUCCUUGUGUUGUAUAUAUAUAUAUUGAAAAAGAUAUGUGGAUCAGUAGGUGCACCCGGAUAUCUCCACUAGAUGGACACAUCCUUAUCACCUUUAUCAUCAUCGCUUCAUUAAUAAUAUAAAAGGAAGCAAGAGAUGGAAAAACAAAAGGAGGACUAGAGUUAAGCCCCAUACAAUCAACUUAAAGGCAUUUAAAUUUAAAGCAAUUGUACCCAUCAUACCAGCACACAUAUAUAUGUUGGGUGCGAUCAUACCAGCACUAAUACACCAGAUCCCAUCAGAACUCCACAGUUAAGCAUACUUGGGUGAGAGUAGUACUAAGUUGGAUGACCACUUGAAAAAUCCUCGUGUUGCACCUCUUUUUAAAAAAACAAUUGUACUAGCCCAAAAACCUAAACGAGCACAAAUGCCUUCCCAGAGAUUAAUAAUUGAUAUUUUCCUUUCCUGGAAGAUAUGGUUAUUUCUCUCGAACCAUAACGACCAUAACACUAAUGAAAUAGUGUUGAAUUUGAUGAUGUCCGUCCUGUUAUUUAUAUUUGUACAAGAAAGCUCAGAACAAAGGGAUGAAAGGCUGUGAUGCCGAUUUUUCCAAUUAAUGAAAAUUUCCACUUUGACCCAUAUCUUUGUGCUAUAUAUAUAUAUAUAUGUAUUUUUCUUUUCUUUUCUUUUCUUUUUGUUUAAAUUGGCAUUUAUACAAUAUAUGUGUGUUAAAUGGAAGGAAAAUUUUUUAGUCCAACUUUUUGCCAAAAUGAAGAAGAAAAAGUCGUGCAUCUAGAAUUUUUCUGUUUUUAUUUCUUCAGUAUUAGCUAGUGUGACGGUGAGUGAUUGUUAUAAACACAGUGUGUAUUUUUCUUAUAGGGUUGUGUUGGGAAUUUAUCUUGUUUUAUUUCAAGUGAUCAAGUUCCACUCUUUAUUAUUUGUUAUUUUAUACGACUCUAAUAUGUGAACUAGAUCUUUGAGAUACUUCAAUUACAUAAAUAAAAACAUUCAUUUUAUUUCUACAUAAAGAAAAGUCUAAAGAAAGCAUGAGAUGUGGAGGCAAUCAAACACUACAUUCACAACGAAAAAAAAAGAAAGAAAAUUAAAAGACUCAGUAGUUGUAGAACUAUCAUUAAUAUAUAGAACAUUCACUGCCGGCCUGAUGUUGUGGGCAAAAGCUCGGUAGUGCAAGCCAUGAGGAGAGUCUGUGCAGACACAAAGCAAGCCAACAAAGGACCAUUGAUCACCAAAUGUCCUUCACUUUUCAGCAUAUUAACCAUUUCAUUCACUUUCACUUUCAGAUCAUCCAGUGGAGCUGUUAGAGAAGAGCCCGAGCUGGGAGGUAGUGCCUUUUUGUUUUCGGUUGGCAGUACGGCAGUGCAUGCCACGAGCAGAGUCUGUGCAGACUCAAAGCAACCCAACAAAGAACCUGUCGCCAAAUUAUCCUUUUUCCAGCACUCGCUUUUCACCUUCUUAAUUGUUUCCUCCGUUUUCAGUAUCAGAUCUUUUGUUGCUAGGCUGCUCGAACCCUUCACUUGUGAACUUUUGACGGAGUUGCUUUUCGAACAAAUAAGUUCAUCGUUAGAAAAAUUCUUGUUUCCUCUCAUGAUAUUGUGUGUUGUGCCUUAUCAUCAAACUCCAAAUCACAUCUACCUAUCUUUAUAUCAUUAUUGGUCGUCAUUGUCCAAACCUGUGCCAAAUAAACCUAACCUAUUUUUCACUAUUUUAAAAAACUUGAAUUGGUUUAUAUCAUGAUAUACGAUUAUAUUUAAAUGUUUUAUUUACUUAAUAUAAUUUUGCAUCUUAAAUAUAAAAUUUAAAUUUUAGAUACGGCAAAAAUAUAAAAUGUUACUUUUUAGAAUCUGCGUGGUUUGAAAUCGCAUUAUCUAAAAAUAAUUUUCAAAAUUAGAAUUUGAGAGGUCUCUGUCAAAUAUGAAUGAACUGUCAACCAAACAAACUUUAAAUUCUAUGAGUUAUUCCAAAAAAAAUGUUUAAAAUUUUAUACUAAUUCUUUCUAAUAUUAAUGAAAGUGGAAAUGAUGAGCAUGCAAAGGAAGCAUCCACUUAGUAGAGAUGUUCAAAUGCACCUGUUAACCCAAAGUAUCUCUUAACAAAAUGUUUGAAAUAAGAAGUUGGAAGUACAUGUUAGAAAUGGGGAAAGUAAAUUAUUGUUUGGUGAAAAAAGUAAAAAAUAAAAAUUAAUAAUUAGGUCCACGGUGUCACAUCUCGAAGACCACACCAAAAAAUGGAGUAAAAGACAGAAUGAAAGAAAAAGAAAAAAGAGGGAGAAGGAAGUCGAUGUCUUGGCUUCUCCAAGAAAGUAAAGUGACCAUAAAUAUAUUUAUAAAAAAGAAAAAAGAAAAGAAGAGGAAGAGAAAGAGAAAGAGAAGAUAAAGGAGAAGGGAAAAAGAAAAUGAGAGGGAGAGGGAGAGAUGGAGUUUAAUUUACGAAGGGAAAAAAAAGAAAAGGAGAGCCCACCUCUCCUCUGUUUGAUGGGAUUUAAGAUGCCUGACUGUAAUAUUCUUUUCUUUAGCUGUUUAUCUGGAGUUGUACCUUUUUUCUUGCAAUUGUCAUUGUUUACUUGCAGGCCAAUAAAGCAGCAUCAUCACAUGUCUUUGUUUUUGUUAUUGUUUGUGGGAAUCAUAUUACAUGUAGUGAAUUAGACUAGGAGGUACGUUUUUCACUCUAGAUUAGUUUUAUGGUCUUUUAAUUAUAUGAAGGGAGACCAUUAUAACGUGCUUAAGUGUUUCAUUUCAUUUAUUUGCCAGAUUUUAUGUUUUGAUGGUUGUAUUUGAGCAGAGUUCACAAGAUGGAAAUGCUGGAAAUGCAAAGAUUUUGGGGUAGAUUUUUGUUUAUAUAACUUGAACUCAUUGAGGAAAUGAUGGAAGUAGGUAACAAUAACAGUAACUCCCUUUAUAAUAUUUUGGGUCGUUGUUAAUUUGAACUCUUUUGUUUUCAAUCACAGUGUUGGUAUUGAAAAUGCGUCUCUCUCUUUAUAAUUUUGUGUGUUUAAAUGUAAAAAAUGUUAAGUUUAUAAUUAAGUUUACACAUUAAAUUAGAAAUUAUUUUUUUAACCAAUAAAAUAUUUUUAGCAACGUUUUAUGUAAGGUCAGUAUACCAAAGUUGAAAUGUAAAAAGUAUUUUGAAAUUUAAUUACCAUGACAUAAAUAUAAAUUUUUCUAACGCUUACUUUAUGUCACAAAAGAUGUAUUCAAAUACCAGAAACAAACAUUCAGCAACAAUUUAAAUGUUUAUAAAACUUUUCUUACAGAGACAAGUUUAUAACGCCUCUAUAUAUUGCCAUUAGUAGCCUAUAAAAUGUUCAUAGAGAUAUGUAGUUUUUCGUAACACACGAGUUAGUAAACACACGGUUUUAGUGGCACGCAAAAAUGUGUUACUGUAACUGUUCAUUGUGCGGAUACAGCGACGAACAUUUGAGCAUUGCUAAAGCUAUCAGCGUUUUGUUCGAUUUAUUUUUAAAGGAUAAAUGAGCCUGAAACAUAAAAGAAUCGAAAAGAAAUAUUUUAAUUUCAUCUAAUUAACGUGAAAUGAAACUUAAGUCGAAUAAAAAAUAAAAAAAUAAGAACCCUAACUUUUUAAUUCAAAGUUCUCCUUCGAUUCUUGAUCAUUUUCGCCGAAUCCGAACUGUAGACGAAUAUACGAGAGUGUUCUCAACACAAUUUUGGGAUCAAAUUGGUUCUAUUAUGUGUUUUUUUUAGAGAACUCGAAAUUAUUACGAACACUUCAUUAUUUUCUUAAAAAAUUCUCCAUAAACCACCACCGAAUAUUCAAUUAAUUUGAGUAAUAUAUACACAUUGACACUACUUUACUUGCUUGAAAUGAAGUGAAAAGUGUGGUUGAAUGGUAUUACAUGCAAGUAGCUUACUUAAAAGUUACUUUGCAAUUUCAAAUUUCAAAUAUAUUUGAUUUUGAUUUUUAAAUUGAAAUUCAUUUCACUUUUAUUUGAUUUUCUAAAAUAUAAUUAGUUUAUUAUUUUAAUAUUAAUUAAUCUAAUUAAUUAUUAAUAAUAAAAUAAUUAUUGGAUUGAUCGCCAAUUCGAAUCUCUUUUCUUCAUAUUUAAAUCUUAUUUAAAUAUCACUCAUUUCUCAAAAACACGUUAAUUAAAUCAAUUUCGCCAUUGAAGGUGGUAUUUGACGCAAAAUGGGUAAUAAUUUGGAUUUGGCCGCAGGAAGUUUGGCAUUUGGUGGAUUGAUUUGGGGCUGUGAAAAGAAUAAGAGCGAGGAUUAAAACAGAGUAGCAAUUAGGGAGUGGCAUUUUUUUGGGAGAUGGGUUUGUGAUGAAGAAAAGAAAUGGAAAUUGAACCAUAAGGGAAAUUGUUGAAUGAGUAGAGAAGUGAAGUAAUAUUUAUCUUUUGCUUCAUUUUCUUUUGGUUCUGUGUUAUGAGACCUUUGCCGGGGAUUCAAGUGAUUCUUCUUGGCAAACUAGUGAAAUUAAUUCGUCUUAUUUCAUGAGAAAUAGUUUCAUUGCUGAGAAAAAUCCCCUGCAAGAACCCUCAAAUUUCAGAUGGAGAAUGUCGAACUCGGAGCUAACCCUUGAGAGCUAGGGACACUACCAAAAUCACUUCAAUUAUAUGAAAUAAUAACAAUAAUUCUAUUUCAACAAAACAAAAAGUACUUAAACCCUAAAGAGAUGCAUGAGAUGUGGAUGCAAUCAAAGAUUGCAUUUAUUAUAAUAUGAAAUUUCUACUUUUUAAUCUUAUUUUCCUCUACACUUCUAUCAGCAGCUUCAUUAGUAGUAGAACUGUCUUUAACAGAAACUUCACUGCGCUGGUGAUCUCCGGUUGAUGUGUAGAAAAGCUGGAUAGUACAAACCACGAGCAGGGUCUGUGCAGCCACAAAGCAAGCCAACAAAGGACUACUCACCAAAUUAUCCUUUCUACACCACACGCUUUUCAUCUUCUCAACAGUUUCCUCCAUUUUCACUAUCAGAUCAUCUGUUGCUUUGCCUUUGGAGCUCGAACCCUCCACUUUUAAGUUUUGAUUCUCGUUGCUUUUCUUAGAGACAGAAAUAAGUGGUUCGUUCAUCACAUCAAUAUUCCUAUUGCUCAUAUUGUGUUGUGCCUUAUCAUCAAACUCCUUAUCCCAUCUACUCAUAUUUAUACUACUAUAUAUAUAUACUAGUUAGAAUUAUCUCUAUUGCACGUUUGAUUAUUAUAGUUUUAUGCGUGUCAUUUUAUGAAGUAUUCUUAAUUCUGUUUGCUCAUUUUAUGAAUUUAAUCCUAUCUUUUUAUAUAUAUGACUUAAUAAUUCUAAAAAAGUCGGAUAACGUAA